GCAUUGCUGGGAGCCAUUCAGUCGUUGUUCGAGGGCUCCAUGUACACUUUUGUCUUCCUCUGGACUCCAGCGUUGAGCCCAAAUGACGAAGACAUUCCUCAUGGCUUCAUAUUUGCCACCUUCAUGCUGUCGUCUAUGCUGGGUAGCUCCAUUGCAUCACGCCUGUUGGCCCGGAAGAUGAAGGUCGAAGGUUAUAUGCAGAUCGUGUUUGCAGUAUCAGCCUUCACCCUUUUCCUCCCGGUUGCCACCAGCGUAAGACCACACCGCUCGCCGCUACUCUUCAGUUCAGUUCUUUCUCUGCCAUUCUAGUAAGAUUUCUUCUUACUGAUAGCGAAUCAUUUUCGCAUGUGUGACGUGACAGCUUCUGGUGCCGACGUCUUCAGUGAAAGGAAGCGGCAUCUCGUUUGGGGGCUCUCUACAGCUGCUUGGUUUCUGUACCUUUGAGUCGUGCGUCGGCAUUUUCUGGCCAUCCAUCAUGAAGAUGAGAUCUCAGUACAUUCCUGAGGAGGCGAGGAGCACCAUCAUGAACUUCUUCCGCAUACCGCUCAACCUGUUUGUCUGUGUGGUGCUCUACAAUGUAAGCAAAAUCAAAUGUUCUUCUCCUAUCCAAAAUAUCCACUGAUGGUGAUGGUGAUCUGUCAGUCAGAAUCUUUUGGCAACCAUACAACUGAAACUCCUUUUUACCUACUAAUAAACAUGAUGAUUAUGUUGCAGGUGAAUGCUUUCCCUAUCACCGUCAUGUUUGGCAUGUGUUCCAUCUUCCUCUUGAUGGCGGCAAUCUUGCAGAGACGGCUCAUGCUUGUCGCUGACCUACACAAGCUAUCCACAAGUAACGUGUCUUUCCUUUAAUUUUGUUCCAGCAUUCUAGUCUAGUGCUUUCUGAUCAAUGUAUCAUGUAUGGAUUCAGAGGGUCCCUAACUGCUGCUAACAACCAUAUAUACUCCUACUUAUUGGCAGAAUCACAAGAUAUGACCGCGGAAGACGAGCCUCUAAAUCCUUGAAAGGCCAACAGAACACAUGCACCUGGGUGCUGGCUGAAUAAGAUGGAAUUGGGGAAAGCAAAAUAUGUUUUGAUUGUAAUAUUUCUUUUUUCUGUAGCGUAGAUCAGAUCGAUAUUAUUAUUGGCUAGGCACGAUCGAGGACAUGGAUGGAUGGAUACACCAAAGCAAGAAUUCAGAGGCUGCUGAGUGAAUUGGUAUAGUCUAUUAAUUUUAUGAUUCCUGGUCUUGUUGUUCAUCGGGACGGCAUUAUUUGUGUUCAAUACGCUACGAGUAUCUUUAUAUAUAUAUAUAUAUAUAUAUAUAUAUAUAUGUUAUUACACCAGAUAACAAUAUCUAAGUGAAUAUCUAUCUAUUGCCAAAAAGAAAAGAAAAAGUCUAAAUUGCUGAUGCUUUCAUUUAGUCUAUGUAUGUAAUUCUCAAUGUUGUGAACCAAUGUAUCUAUCUAUCAUGGAAUGGAACCUUUAGAUGGAAGCGGAAGGCGUGAGCCACACCGGCUGCGGCCAGCUCCGGUGCCGCCUCAGCCCCCACACCUUCUUCACCAGCCCCCACACCUUCUUCACCGUGCCGUCCUUGAGGCUGAACACCCCGACGGCAAGCUGGUCGUCGUCCUUGCUCGGCGACGCUCGCUCCAGAUCGUCGUCGUCGGUGUAGUAGACGCAGCCGGCCCUGAGCUCCGGGCGCCCCCUGGUGGACACGCACAGGGACUCGUUCGCCCCCACGAACAGCGCCGCGUCUCCGAUGUCCUCCGUCUCCUUCCACUGGGCUCCGUCGAGCACAUACACCUUGAAGGACCACGUCUGCCGGCGCUGGCCACACCAGCCCGUCGUCUGCUUGAAUUCCUUGAGCACCACCAUUAACCGCCCGCCCGGCCCCGCCACGAGGUACCUGCGUCGGCGCCACGGCUGGCCGGCCGCGUCGUCGCCCAGCCUUGGCGUGACGGCCGUGCUGCCGAACUCGCCGGUGCCGGGGUCGCGCUCCCACGCCUCCACGGCGCCGGAGUACCCGAGGGAGUAGAACCUGCCCUCGUGGUGGAUGGCGUCCUCCACGCCGUCCCGUGAGGGAGCCAGCAUCCACGCGGCGUCCUCCGUCGUCGCAAAGGCCGGCACGCCCAAGCACGCGCCAGUGACCAGCAUGGCUGCGGCGGCGGCGGGGGCGAGGACGACCUUGCGGUAGAGGAAGCCGCGCAUCUGCUCGGCUGCCAGCGUGAAGGUGCCAACCGGCUGGCGGCCGUAGGGGUACGGCGGGCCCCUGGUGAAGGGCUCCAGCGUGAACUCCAAGUGGGAGCCCCCCUCGAGCGCGUGGACGCAGGGGACGGUGGUGAUGGCCGGGAGCGCGCGCUGCUCGCCGGUCACCGGGUUGACCAGGUGCAGCGCGGCGUCGGCGUCGGCGGUGACGAGCCACCCGCGGGAGGAGCCGAUGAAGGCGUGGCUGCGCAGCGCGGGGCUCGGGGCGUGCACGGUGGCGGUGCGGCGGUCGGCGACGGAGAAGAGCGUGGCGGUCUCCGGCGUCCGGCCUGGUAGGAGGAGGCAUGGUGCCUCCGGCCUGAAGGCGUGGCGCGAGGCGCUGAAGACCGCGGCGAAGGCGAGGCGGUCGGGGAAGCCCAGGCGGCCGUGGAUGUUGGCCAGCAUAUCCGGCGACAGGCUGACGCCGGCGGCGGCGUGGUCUGGCGGCAUGGCACUGCCACAGAUCGAUGGGUGAUCGGUUUGGGUGGCGGCGGCCAUAUAUGUUGGUUACGUUAUUAUUACUAAAAAAAGAGGGUCAUGUAUCUCCGUGGUGAAAUCCGAUUCUACAACUCCUUCUACUUUGACGGCAGUUCAAGCCCAACUCAUUUUUUUAUUGUUUUUCUAAAAUCAAAUACAAAUCCAAUAUAAUUACUAAAGUUUAUUUAUUUAACCUCUGGUUUAGACUAAGGUCAACUAUAAAUCCCAAAGUUAUUUACUAGAGUUCAAUUCAAGUCUUAUCUGUGCUUGCAUCAAUAAAAUUCAAUGUAAAUUUAUUUUUAUAAAAUCAAUUUAACUCCAAAAUUUUACUAAGUAAAUUUUAAGUUUCCCAAUUAUAUUGCAAAAGGAUUUAUUCAAUUUGAGUUAACGGUUCUAAGGUUAUAACCAAUUUAACUUGAACUGAAUCCAAAUAUUACUUUGAAUUUUCUAAAGUUAAAUAAUAAUCCAAAAAUAUUAAUAGAGUUCAUUUUAAGUUUCUAAACUUAGUUGCAAAAGGAAUUAUUCCAUUUAGGUCUUUUAUUUAAAGUCAACACAAAUAGUUCCACUUUUUUUUAAAUUCUGGCAUCUAUUGAAUUCUACCUAAUUUUUUUUAUUAUUCAAAUUUGAUUUUUAGUGAGAUAAUUUGAAACUAUAUUUUACUAAGUUUAUUCUAUAAAAAGUUUCAGUUUAAUUGGAUUUAAAAAUUGCAAGUUAUGCCCAAUUUAAAUUUGAAUACAUUAUGUUUGAAAAUUACUAUUCAAAGGCUAAAUAUUUUUGGACUAGGUGAAAGUGUAUUUCAUAAGGAUCAUUCUGCAAAAAAGUUUCACUAAAUUAGCAUUUAUAGAUAAAAUUUACGAUGGUUUGAAGUUCCAGGGGUUUUCUAUAAAACUACCAAAUGAUUCAAUUAAACUGAAAUUGUUCUAAAUAAUGUUUUGGAGAAGGUGGGACACGUGCCAAGACGUGAUUGGCCGGUACCAAUUUGGUAAGUGAGUGCUUGUGUGAGCUGUUGGAUUGAAACAAACAGACGAGAUUAGAUCUGGGCCUCACCAGGGUUAGGUCACCGUAGAUGUCACCGGAAAAAUGCAGGCACGACGCUGAACGACGGUGCUAUGCCCUUGGUUCAACAUAUUUGGCGCUCGGGGAGUCUUGGGGACGGGAAGGGGCUCGGGUGUACGCGGCUAGAUGCGGUGGUGCUGAUGGUGGCCUCGGUUGCCCUCGGGGACGAUGGAAACAACGGCAGCGGGGACGCGUAUAUCCGUUUUGGCCUCGGUUUCCAUCAUGACAAUGCCAGAUGUACAAACUAUUCUUCGGAUCGCAAGAGACGCGUCCGGGCUUGACCGAGGAUGCUGGCCUAAGCUGCAAUCGCCCGGAUACUGAAGUAAGUAGCCCUGUGUCCGGACACAUCAUCCCUUUGUUUAUCAUGGGUUUGCCUUUUAACCAGCUAUCCCUUGGACAGGAGUGGAUAGCGCAAGCAAAACUGAUACGGUGUCCGACCCCCCUCCCUGAGACCACGCAGGAUUCCGUGUUAAUCAAAAUGUUGGAGGUCGCACCUUCGGAGGAGGGCGAUGGGGGGCAUAGGGAAACUACCACCUCCGUCAAGGAGGCUUUCAGUAAGGGAGGAAUCGAGAGUUCCUCCUUCCAGGGGGAGAAGAGGAUCGCUUCCAAAGACCCGGAGGCCAAGGCCUCAAAGCGGGGAAAGAAAUCUGUUCCGGCUUGCUGACGGGUUUUGAGGUACGCAAAAAAAAUGACAUACCUUUUGACAGUUUUGCACAUGAAGUGCGCCCUGGAUAGAUAGUAGCCCCUGAGACUUAGUAUGCUGUCGAAAGCGACAGCGUGCCGAGGAUCAUAAUCUCAGUUAUAGAAUGUCACCUUUCCUAUGCAGGUGGCGGAUCGUUCGGUGGCUAGCCGGACUGAUGGAUUUGCCGAGCUGAAGAGGCAACUCGACGUCGCGGAUGCGGACAUCUCGUUGGUCAAUAAACGACUUGAUGAGUCACAAGGUAUGUGGUUGCUCCGCGAUCGCACAGUAAGGGAGCUGACGCCCAUUCCUUACAAUUUGUAUGCUUGAUGCAGAUGGUGCUGCUGCUGUGGAAGACCUUUGAGCGGAACUUGCUCGGGUCAAGGAGCAAGCCAAAAAAAGCGAGGCGGAUGCCUCGAAGGCAGCAGAAGAGCUAAAAGCCGAGAAGGCUGCUCACUGCCGAAGCAGGGAGGAGAUGGCCGAAAUGGCCGCAAAAUUAAAAGUUGCUACCGACCGCCAAGAAGUUCUUGAAAGAGAACGCCAAGCGGAGCAAGAGGACCUGAAGAAGGCCGACGCCGAAGCCAAGGAUGCCCGUAGUUCGAUGCGGGCUAUUAAGGAGGAACCGCGUCAGGUCGAGGACAUUGUGGCCGGAAAGCCCUUUAUGCUGCGUAGGAAGUUCACAGACCCGAAGUAUACUCAGCUGGGCCGACUGUACGGUGCGGAGGAUCCUUAUCUGGACUUGGCAGCGAGUGCGGCGGACGCAGUCGUGCACUUCCGAAGUCAGAAGGAUCACAAAAUGGAAGAGCUUUUCUGGUCUCAAUUCCAUAGUCCGGAGCAUCCGCUGCCGUUGAGUGAUCGGCUGGUUGAGUGGGCUGAGCUGAAUAGACUGUCCGGACUGGCCAUGACGGAUGUGGUCGCUCAUCUGUGGCCGGGAAGGCCCAAGCCGAAGAGUUAUUUUGGCUUGUUGCAGCAAUUCCUUGGGGCGGUGCCGCGUAUUGGGGCGAUGAAGCGGUCGGCGUGUAUAGAAGGUGCACAGAUGGCUCUGGCCCGUGGUAAAACAUACUGGGCGGAGAUGGAUGCCACCGCUGUUGCGUCUAGGCGGAUCUCGGGUAGGGGGUCCCGAACUGUGCGUCUAGGCAGAUUGUAACAGGAGACGAGGGACACGAUGUUUUUACCCAGGUUCGGGCCCUCUUGAUGGAGGUAAAACCCUACGUCCUGCUUGAUGAAUAUUGAUGAUGUGGGUUACAAGAGUAGAUCUACCACGAGAUCAAGGAGGCUAAACCCUAGAAGCUAGCCUAUGGUAUGAUUGUCCUUCGUCCUAUGGACUAAAGCCAUCCGGUUUAUAUAGACACCGGAGAGGGCUAGGGUUACACAAAGUCGGUUACAAUGAUAGGAGAUCUACAUAUCCGUAUCGCCAAGCUUGCCUUCCACGCCAAGGAAAGUCACAUCCGGACAUGGGACGAAGUCUUCAAUCUUGUAUCUUCAUAGUCUUGGAGUCCGGCCACUGAUGAUAGUCCGGCUAUCCGGACACCCCCUAGUCCGGGACUCCCUCAGUAGCCCCUAAACCAGGCUUCAAUGACGACGAGUCCGACGCGCAUAUUGUCUUCGACAUUGCAAGGCGGGUUCCUCCUCCGAAUAAUUUAUAGAAGAUUGUGAACACCAGGAUAGUGUCCGGCUCUGCAAAAAUAAUUUCCACGUACCACCGUAGAGAGAAUAAUAUUUACACAAGUUCAAUCUGCUGACGUAUUUCGUGGCGUGACGUCACACCACAACCAAGCCUUUACUUGAAUCGUUUUUAUUGUACCACCUCAGCGCGUUUAGCGAAGCGGUUUCCAUGGCACGUCUUGUCGAAGCAGUGAUCGUGCUCCCCUUAUUCCGGGAUUCCAAUCAAUACGGACGUGGGUAACCCAACCGCGCCAUCAAUCGCGGCGCUUGGGGGAUAAGCGAGUUUUACCAGGCCGAUGGGGACACAUAUUUUUGUCUGCCCAUAUAAGGGGAUAAAGAUCCAACCCUUUUACCUGCGCCUUCUUCCUCCUUAGCUUAUCCAUCUCUGCGAACCCGAGCUCCAGCGCCCAAGCCCGCACAUCUCACCUCAACCUUCUCCGAUCAUGUCCGGAGCGGGAGGCAAGUGGAUGGCAUCCUCCGUAACGGAGGGGCAGAUCAAGAAGCUGCGCAACGUCGGAUACUUGUCUAGCGACAUCGCGCAUCGGCUCCCCGACGAGGGAGAGCUCAUCCCCACCCCUAGGCCCCAUGAGAGGGUAGUGUUUCUUCCCCAUUUCCUCCGUGGACUGGGCUUCCCACUUCAUCCCUUUGUCCGGGGGCUCAUGUUCUACUACGGCCUAGAUUUCCAUGAUCUGGCCCCGAAUUUCAUCCUCAACAUCUCGGCGUUCAUCGUCGUGUGUGAGGCCUUCCUCUGCAUCCAGCCCCACUUCAGCUUGUGGCUCAAGACCUUCAGCGUCAAGCCGAAGGUUGUGAAGGGUAGCCAAGCGGAGUGCGGAGGUGCCAUGGUGGGCAGGAUGUCCCACGUUACUUGGCUCGAGGGCACUUUCGUGGAAACCAUCAACGGGUGGCAAUCGGGGUGGUUCUAUAUCACCGAGCCGCGUGACCCUGAAUGGGCAGCGGCCCCCGAAUUCAGAUCUGGCAUCCCCACACGGCUCACCUCCUGGAAAGAGAGUGGCCGGAUCUGGGGUGAUUCAGAAGAGCUGACCGGACUCCAAGCUUGCGUCCAGAAGCUGGUGGACAAGAAGCUCAAGCUCGUCAACGUGGUCCAGGUCAUGCUCAUCCGCCGGAUCCUCCCGUGCCAACGACGGGGCUUCAACAUGUGGGAGUUUGAUCCGAUGCAGCACCAGACCCUGAGCGGGCUCUUCGACACUACGUACGAAGAGGUCUGGAAGGUGCUGUUCAAGGGCGCCGAGGCUCCCGCAUCCGCUACCGAAGAUCGCGGAUUCAGCUUGCAGCGUCCGGCUGACGAGGUAAGUGAUUUCAUCCUUUACAGAAUGCUCGUUUUCCAUAGUUUGACUCUAUGCGGGAUCUAAACUCCCUCAUUCCUUUGACAGGACUGGCUGGCGAAGGCCGAACAGACUAUCUGUCCGGCCCCAUUGCCAGAGGACCCAGUGGACGCCCGUCUAACGGGGCUGCUGGCUCCGGCACCCCAUGUGGUGCCGGAGAAAAAGGCCAGGAAGUAGGCCACGGGUACUCGAAAGAGUUCCCGUUUUCAGGUGCUAUCGGAUGAUGACUCCGAGGCCGGCUCCUCCCACCAAGGCGAGGAGGAGAAGAAGAAAGCCUCUCCCCUAGUGGGGGGAGGGAAGAAAAGGAAGGCUUCCCCUACGGGGGAGGCCGAAGGGUCCAAGAAGGGAAAAACCCUUCCCCCGGACUACUCUGCCGACGUCAGUGAUGACGACGAGGACUGGCCUCCAAGGACCAAGCCCCUGGCGAGAUCGUAAGUAUCUGGGCUCCUGAGUAACUUUAUGGUUUCCUUUUCGCCACCCAGUGUCUUUCUAAUGCCGCAUACAACCCUGCAGCCCGCCCAAGGAUGAUCUCCCCGCUUCGUCGAGCGGGUCCUUAGGUGCGUCGGAUAUGGAUUCCCUUUCGACCGCCUCCUCCCCUCGUGACGCGGACGAUGCCGAGGUGGGAUCCCGGGAAGGGACUCACCAGGAGGAGAAGGCCCCAGAGGUGUCGCAGGACAAUCUCCCGGACUUUGCACCGGACUCGGCUCCGGAGCCCCUAGUGGCUCCGGAGUCCGGCGGGCGACCCCUUCGCAAGAAGGGCAAGACCGUGACGCCGGCUGCUUCCGUCCAACCGGAGGCGCCGGAUAGAUAGCUGGAGGCGCUCAAUAGCGCCUCCAUUGAAGAGGAACACCGCACUGUUAUGAGUGCGGUGAUUCAGAAAGUUCAGCUCGCCAAGAGCGGGCUGACCGAAGCCUGCAGCAGCCUUCUAACAGGCUUUGAGGUAAGAAUUUUGAGUCAUAAAAAAUAUGUCAAUAUGGGAUUGCAGGUUGUGCUGCUGACCUCCGCCGCACUGACUGCGGAGGUUAAUACUUUAAAGGAAAACCUCAAGCGGUCCGAGAACGAGCUCGGCCGUGCCAAGAAGCAGCUCGAGGACAAGGAAGGUGAGUAACACCUUAUUAAAAUUGUACCUUACAGAAAAGGAUUUGGUUUCAAGAAAAAUGACAAGGAUAACGUGGAUAUGGCAGGGGCCACUAACGAGGUGGCGGCCCUGAAAGAGGCGGUGGCCGCGGCUGAACACAAUGCGGCUGCGGAGCGCACCGAGCGAGAGAAGCAGGAGGCGCGGGUGGCGGAGGUACAACAAGAGCUCCAGGCUCUCAUGGAAAAACAUGAGGGUUUGGAGCGUGACUCGAGGACCCGAGAGUCCGAGCUUGCAACGGCUCUUGAGAGUGCCAAAGCCGCUAAGGCCGAAGCCUACAAGGCCCUCCAGGAAAUCAAUGAGUUGAAGAAAAUAGCAGCGGGUAAGGCAUUUUUCAUGCAAAGUAAGCAUGUGCGUGUUAAUUACCUGUUGCUUACCCGAAUUCGGAGCUCUCCAGGAGCGUUCGCAGAUCUUCCUUGCAGCGUGUCCGAUGCUGCCGCGUUCUACCGGGCCGAGGAGGGGAGCUCAACGGAGAAGGUCUUCUGGUCUCAGUUUGCUGAGGCCGGACAUCCGGUGCCCCUUAGCGACCAGCUGAAGCAGCUGGUCGAGCUCCACAAGGCGGCCGAACAGGCCAUGAAGGGCCUCAUAGUUCGGCUGUGGCCCAAGGAGGCCAUGCCAGGGAGCUACUUCGGCCUGGUGCGGCGACUGGUGGAUGCGUGCCCGUGGGUUGAAGUCAUCAAGCACUCCGCCUGUAUGGAAGGUGCCCGUCGGGCCCUUGCCCGCGCAAAGGUGCACUGGGGCAAGAUGGAUGCCCAAAAGCUGGUGACGGACGCGCCACCGCAGGGCAAGGAGCAUCGUACGCCCGAAAUGUAUUAUAAAAUUGUCCUGAAGGGUGCCCGCAUUAUUGCGGGUGAGUGCUCCAAAGAAGAAAUUUUUGAGUAGACUCGCGUUUUGUUAUCCUGUGCGCUGAAAACUAAGUUCAUAUGUGCGAAGCAACACUUGUUAAUUUAAAAUAUUACCUUCUGUGCGACUGUUUAUCAAAUCUGAGAGAUGGCAAGUCGUCGGCUUCAGCCCCCAUGCCACGAGUGCUGGGGUGUUCGGGAUAAAUUUGAGCACUCUUGUUCCCAUAUUUGGGUCCAUCGAGGGAGGCGCUCAACACAACGAACAAGGCAACCGGACUUAUAAUGCUUGAACACUCUCACUUAUCCAUAGAAUUCUAUAAUUUUAAAUUUCGGCGAAGCCCCUAGUAUUCGGAAGGCCGAAUUUGGGGCGCUAUCCACGCCUGGUCCGGACAGAUUCCGGCUCCUCGCUCGAAGCGGCAUAAGUCUUUAAGGACUCGCAAAAAACCUCUUGAACAGCGACCAACUCUCGCCUCAUCAUGAUAGUCAGUUUUAGCUUUCUCCACUGAGGCGUUAACCCAGCUCAACUGGGGCGCAAUUGCAGUGGUUCUCCCAGUGCUACCUUAGCCGAUAAAAUGGAACGUAAGGUACCAAAACAUGGGAGCCGGGCAAACCCAACUAUUGACCCAAGAACAUGAUUCGGAGCCAAUGCAUGUAAUGCUAUAAGCUCGGGGUGCCGCACUUGUGAAAGUGUUCGGACUUAUCACACCAUAAUGCGGGAAACAUAAGCCCCUGGUGUAUUUAGCCGUACCAAAACGUACGGAUGCAACAUGUCAUAGAUGAACAUAUGUAUAAGAAAGGAAUGCGAUUGGAAGCAAAAAGGUGAUGCAUUGCUUUAUUCAAUAAAAACUGCUGUAAGUGCAGAACGAUACAAAUGGUGCGGUAGGCAAGGGAUGGGACUGUUAAACAUGUUCCCCUCCAGGGGUAGGCUACGGAAUAAUGCAUAAAACGGAUUUAAUGCUCAUAAUGGAGACCACCUGGAUAUUCGUUGUAGCCUUUCUCCUUCCCUGGCUGUUGCAUUGUGAGUUCGGCAUGUCUGCUGCCGGACAGGGCCUCUGACGAACGGAGUCCUGUGGGUAAAAAUAAAAGAAAGAAAAAAAGAAUGACACAAUUGAGAGCCACUGGUGUGGUUGAGCCGCAGUCUCGGCCUAUCGUGGUCGCGCCCCUUUCCCCAUGCCCAUGGUAUCUUCAGAGCGUAAUGAUGUACGUGAAGGGUCUGUCUUGACGUUUUACAGGGGCUAGGGUUGGGGCCGCACUGCUACGCGUGCUCGGAACGUGCCAGGUGGUCAUGUUGUAGGUUACUCCGGGCACGCUUAGCUGUGUCCGGCCGCUUGGCGGCCGGACUCGAGAAUUGCCUUAAUAGGCUGCAUUGUACUUCUGCCGCGAGAGCCGCUGUAUGUUCCUCCGUUCGGAGAGAACAUUCAGUGUUUCCGUUGACCGUGAUGACUCCUCGAGGGCCUGGCAUCUUGAGCUUGAGGUAUGCAUAGUGCGGCACCGCGUUGAACUUUGCAAACGCGGUGCGUCCGAGCAGAGCAUGAUAGCCGUUGCGGAAUGGAACUAUGUCGAAGAUUAACUCCUCGCUUCGGAAGUUAUCCGGGGAUCCGAAGACCACUUCCAGUGUAACUGAGCCUGUACAAUUGGCUUCUACACCUGGUAUGACGCCUUUAAACAUCGUCUUGGUAGGUUUAAUCCUUGAUGGGUCGAUGCCCGUUUUGCGCACUAUAUCAUGAUAAAGCAGGUUCAGGCUGCUGCCGCCGUCCAUCAGGACUCUGGUGAGGUGAAAUCCAUCGACGAUUGGGUCUAAACCAAUGCGGCGAAUCCUCCGUGACGGAUGCUGGUGGGGUGGUCCCUUCGGUCGAAAGUGAUCGGGCAGGAGGACCAUGGAUUGAACUUCGGGGCAACUGGCUCCAUCGCAUAUACAUCCCUGAGUGCACGCUUCCGCUCCCUUUUGGGGUAUGUGCGUUGCGUAUAUCAUGUUCACCGUCCACACCUGUGGGGGGAAACCCUUCUGUCCUCUAUUGUUCGGCCGUCGGGUCUCUUCCUCGUCAUCGCUAUGCAGCCCCUUGCCAUUGCUCUCGGCAAUUAACUUGCCUGCCUGCUUGAAUACCCAGCAGUCCCUGUUGGUGUGGUUGGCUGGCUUUUCUGGGUGCCGUGUAUCUAGCACGAGCGGUCGAGUAUUCGGUCCAAGUUGGACGGACCCGGAGUAGUUCUUUUGAAUGCCUUUUUCCGCUGACCGAGUUUAGAGCCUCUAAAUCCGGCAUUGACUGUCGUAUCCUCACUGUUAUCGCUGUUAAUGCGGCGUUUGUUUUUGUUGCGACACGACCUGCCAUUAUGGUCCUUGAUAUUCGGACUGCCAGAAUUUUUGCUGAGGUUGUUGCUGCGUGCUAGCCAGCUGUCCUCACCCGCGCAGAAGCGUGUCAUGAGUGAUGUCAGGGCUGCCAUGGAUUUCGGCUUUUCCUGUCCCAGGUGCCGGGGAAGCCACUCGUCGCGAAUGUUAUGCUUGAAGGCCGCGAGGGCCUCGGCAUCCGGACAAUCGACGAUUUGUUUUUUCUUGGUUAAGAACCGUGUCCAGAAUUGUCUGGCCGAUUCGUCUGGCUGCUGAAUUAUGUGGCUUAGGUCAUCUGCGUCUGGUGGUCGCACAUACGUGCCUUGGAAGUUAUCGAGGAAUGCGGCUUCCAGGUCUUCCCAACACCCUAUUGACUCUGCUGGCAAACUGUUAAGCCAAUGCCGGGCUGGUCCUUUAACUUUGAGUGGGAGAUAUUUGAUGGCGUGAAGAUCGUCACCGCGGGCCAUGUGGAUGUGGAGGAGAUAGUCCUCGAUCCAAACCGCGGGGUCUGUUGUGCCAUCAUAAGAGUCAAUAUUGACGGGUUUAAACCCUUCGGGGAUUUGAUGAUCCAUUACUUCAUCUGUGAAGCAUAGUGGGUGUGCGGCGCCUCUGUACUGGGCGAUAUCAUGACGGAGCUCAAGAGAGUUUCGUCUAUUUUGUUCAGCCCGGCCGGACUUACUGUGUCCGGCGCGAAGAUUGUCGUCAUGUGUCAUGGGGCGCCCACGCGAUCCGUAGAUUGAUCUUUGUCUUGCCUUAUCCUCCAAUAUGUCCCGCAAGUCCAGAGCGUUCCCCUGUGGCCUUGUGCUUUUCGAGCGAUGCCGGGGUACGGUUCUGGUGAAGGGCCUACAGGCCUCUCUGUCACGACCACGGGGUGGUCGGUCAGCCGUAUUGUCUGCUGGUGACGCCGGUUCAUACGCCUCCUCCUCUAAUCGGGGGAGCAGCUUGCGUUUAGGGUAACUUUUGGAGGGGCGUUCGAGCUCAUGCUCUUCGGCCGUGAGGACUUCAGUCCAUCUGUCGGCUAGCAGAUCUUGAUCAGCUCGAAGCUGCUGCUGCUUUUUCUUGAGGCUGUUUGCCGUGGCCAUAAGCCUGCGUUUAAAACACUCUUGUUUGACGGGAUCCUCAGGCACGACGAAUUCGUCGUCGUCGAGGCUUGCCUCGUCUCCGGAGGGAGGCAUGUAGUCCUCUACCUCUUCUUCUGCCGCUCUCUCAUGAGGGCUGGCGUCUCCGUCCUCCUGUGCUGAAUCUUGCUGGAGUGGGUUGUCUUCGGCACUAUCUGGCGUGUUAUUAUCUCCGGUGCCGGAAUCUUCAUUCUUUCUAUGGCGGGAUUUAGAGCGGCGCCGCUGACGCCGGCGCUUGGGCUGUUUCUUGGAAGGGUCAUCCUCCGCUAUUCCUCCGCCAUUCCCAUCCUUUGGGAUAUCCACCAUGUAUAUGUCAUAUGAAGAGGUGGCUUUCCAGUGCCCGGUGGGCGCUGGUUCUUGGUCGUCUCCGGCAUCGUCGUCCAUACCGUCGAUGUCAUCGGAGUCGUAGUCUAGCAUGUCGGUUAGAUCGUCGACAGUGGCUACCAAGUGGGUGGUGGGUGGGCUUUGAAUUUCUUUGUCGUCCACAUCCCAACCGUCCUGACCGCAGUCCGGCCAGGCCUCUCCUGAUAACGAGAGGUACUUUAGCAAACUCAAGAUGUCGCCAAAAGGUGAGUGUUGAAAGAUGUCCGCCGCGGUGAACUCCAUGAUUGGCGCCCAAUCGGAUUCGACUGGAGGGGGCGCGGGAGGUUCGGAGUCCGGCGAGGAGUCCGGCACCUCGGAGUCACGAGCUUUAUGAGGGACAAGAUCAGUGUUCGGCUCUACCGCCGUAGAGGUUGCAGCCCCCGAGGCGGUGUCUAGCCAUCCAUCCUCGAUCUGCGCGGCCGGCUCCGAAUCGAAGAUCGGAGUGGGCUCGAGUGCGGCCUCCAGGGUACUGUCCGGCUACAGAGCUAAAUCAUGCCCAUCGUGACAGUGCGGCACGCUCGGCUGUGGCUCGAAUCCAUCGAGGAUCAAGUCCCCGCGGAUGUCAGCCGUGAAGUUCAAACUUCCAAAUCUGACCUGACGGCCAGGGGCUUAGCCUUCGAUCUGCUCCAGUUGGCCAAACGAAUUGGCCCGCAGUGCGAAGCCGCCGAAUACGAAGAUCUGUCUGGGGAGGAAGGUCUCACCCUAGACUGCAUCAUUGCUGAUGAUCGAAGAAGCCAUCGGGCCUAUCGGUGACGACACAGAGGAACUCUCAAUGAAAGCACCAAUGUCGGUGUCAAAACCGGCGGAUCUCGGGUAGGGGGUCCCGAACUAUGCGUCUAGGCAGAUGGUAAUAGGAGACGAGGGGCACGAUGUUUUUACCCAGGUUCGGGCCCUCUUGAUGGAGGUAAAACCCUACGUCCUGCUUGAUUAAUAUUGAUGAUGUGGGUUACAAGAGUAGAUCUACCACGAGAUCAAGGAGGCUAAACCCUAGAAGCUAGCCUAUGGUAUGAUUGUCCUUCGUCCUAUGGACUAAAGCCAUCCGGUUUAUAUAGACACCGGAGAGGGUGGUUUCACAAAGUCGGUUACAAUGAUAGGAGAUCUACAUAUCCGUAUCGCCAAGCUUGCCUUCCACGCCAAGUCCCAUCCGGACAUGGGACGAAAUCUUCAAUCUUGUAUCUUCAUAGUCUUGGAGUCCGGCUGCUGAUGAUAGUCCGGCUAUUCGGACACCCCCUAGUCCGGGACUCCCUCAGCAGCCAUGGGGGAGCUCUUGGGUUGGGAUGGCUUACACCAAAACGAGCGCUUUUGGGAGAACCAAUGGGUCAGCGAGAUGCACGAGAUCAAGGGGAAAAAGAUGGACAAGGGGGCGCAGGCGAGUACCCAAGGGGGAACAUAUUUGGGAGGGUUGCGGUGGUUGGAUUCCAGCCGACGAUGGCAUCGGUUGAGGGAUUUAUUAAGAGCCUAAAUACUAUCUAGGACUUAUUAAGAAUACUUUUAUGCCCAAAUAAUAAUUUACUUUGCCACCCUAUUUUGGGAUUCAAAAUUAUUCCCUAAACCUUGUAGGUUUCAUCCUGUGUUCCCAAAUUUCAAACAAGGUUUCUAAUGUUGGCAUAGGGUCUUUGACCCUCUAGGUUGAUUAAUCAAGUCAAUAACAAGCAAAUCUUAGGCAAUGUUAGUUAACUAGAGAGCAAGCAAGGGUUUUCCAUGCUACUCUUAUUGAUGACCGCACUACCGAGACUCCCAUGGAGCUCAAUGUUCAGCUCUGUGCGACUGAUGGUGACCCCUUGUCUAGUAUGACACGAUAUCGUCAUCUUGUCAGGAGUCUUGUUUAUCUAGCUAUCACCCAUCCAGAUAUCUCCUAUCAUGUCCAUAUUUUGAGUCAAUUUAUUUCUAUUCCCACUUCAUCACUACAGUCACCUCCUUCGUGUUCUUCAAUAUUUUCGCGGUACGGUCUCUCACCGCUUGUUCUCCCCCCACUCCAGCUCAUUACAAGUUUAGGCCUAUUCAGAUGCUAUGUUGGCUAGUGAUCCCUCUGAUCGCCGUUCACUUUCUGUUUACUGUAUUUUUCUUGGUGGCUCUCUCAUUGCCUGGAAGAUGAAGAAACAUAUUAAAGUUUCCCAUUCGAGUGCAGAGGUUGAGUGGUGUUGAUGCUCUUUUUUGUGCGUUGAUGUGCAGGAUUAUGUUAUUGCUCUUUAGUAUGUGCCUUCUCAGUUAUAGUUGGCGGAUUUCUUUACAAAGGACUAGACUAGAUGAAAGGACCACGAUGUCGCCUAGAGGGGGGGGGUGAAUAGGCGUUUUAAAAUCUUUUACGGAUUUGGCUAUAUCCUAAUGCGGAAAUAAACUAAGCGGAUACUUUUCAAGCACAAAUCCUAAAUAUACUAGGCUCACUAAGGGCACCAACAACUUAGCAUGAACAAUAUGAGAACAACGAGGAUAUGAGUAAGCAUAAGUAAGUUACACAAACUUACUCAAUGUACAUCACGGGAUAUGGAAAUGGAUAAUACACUCACCCACAAGUAGGCAAUACAAGCUUACACAAAUUGUAUCACAAUAUAUGGAAUUGAAUGAUACAAGCACACUCAAGUAAGCACUACAAGCUUACACAAGAUAUGUUACAAGCUAGCAAUUCGCACUAAAUACAAGAUAGAACAAUAGUAGGAAGUCUGAAUUGUGGACUAUAAAGAGUUGAACUAAAUAAUCUCUACGAUAUGGUAACCAACACAAUAUAAUGAGGACAACAAGAAUAGUGAAUGCGCGGUCAAGGGACCAAGGUAAACCACAAGUAAGGAGUUAGGGUUAGGGAUAACCGAUGUCACGGGGACGAUGAUGUAUCCCGAUGUUCACUUCCUUGGAGGGAAGCUAGUCACCGUUAGAGAGGUGGAUGUUACCACGAAGGCACACCAAUGCCACGAAGGCUCACCCUAUUCUCCUUGAGAUAUCACCACGAAGGCGAUUCCCAACCACUAGAGGUAGACCUUGAGGUGGCCUCCAAACCUUCACAAACUUUCCGGGGGACAAAUCACAAGUUUAUUCCUCACCGGAGCACUCCUACCACCUAGGAGUCUCCAACCUCCAAGAGUAACAAGAUCAAGGGGGAAAUGCUCAAGACUUGCUCAAAUCACGAAUUCCUUUGGUCCAGGGAAGGAGAGGGAGUGGAUCUUCACUUGAGUGGAAUCUCUCUCAAGAACUCUCACAAAUCUCUCCGGGAUCUAAGAUUUGAGGUAGGAGAAAGGAGAGGGAGCUUUUCUUCAAGUGUGGGUCAAGAUAGUUGUGUUGCUCAGCCCCUCCACGAAGUGGUGAAGGGAUAUUUAUAGUAUGGGCACAAAUCUGGCCGUUGGGGGGGGGAGGGGGGAAUUUUGCUCAGGAAAGUGUCAGACGUCCGGUGGCAAAACAGGCACCGGACGUCUGAUGGAACACUGGACGUCCGACGGCUGUAGCACGCCAUCAGACGAAUGUAUCAGGAUAUUUGCGAAACAGGUUUGACGGACGUCCGACAUUUUCCGGACGUCUGGAGACCGGACGUCCGGAACUUACCGAAUUUCCGUCCGUUUGAUUCUGGAUUGGCGCACCGGAUUUCCGGACGUUACCGGACGUGCGGCAAAAUAACAGCAGGAACCCCAAAACUAAAACAUGCAUAACUUUCACAUCCGGACUCCGAUUUUGAUGAUCUUGGGCUCGUUUUGAAGCUAUGGAAAAGCUCCAAGUCCUCAGAUAGAGAACCACCCAAAAUAAACCAAAAUGGAGGGUUCAAAUUAUGCAAAGGUUAGAUCAUAUAUUUUGGGAAACUAUUUGGCUUUGGCUUUUCUUUGGUAUAUAGGAUAUGAGUGGAAUUGUGUAUAGAAGAUGUUGACUUGAGAAAAUCCAUCACAAACCCCUUUGAUCCCCUCAUAAUAGUGUGGGAUCCCUAUAACUCAAGAAUCAUAAAAAUAGCUACACUACGUAGCUAUCAAGAAUCCAUUCUUAAGUGUAUAUGUUUUUUUGGUGGUCAUCACUGCACAACACUAACGUCAAAGGAACUAAUACCUUUGACACGAGCCGUUCACUUGAGCUUGAUGUUGAUGUUUCUUCUUGGAUCAAGAUGAAGGCAAGACAUUGGUGCAGUCUUCAACUCUCUCCCCCAUACACAAUGUGGGGAAGCUUUGCUUUGUAUUCAUCUUCACCUGUCCAUCAUGUGAUCAUCCACAAGCUUCAAGCAUGUAAUCCUUUGGGAUGGUUAUCUUGAACUUGCCCUUGUCAACCAUGAUCACCAACACUUGAUGUCAUCCUCUCAUAGACACUUGAAAUCUCUUUCUCGAUGCGAUCCCAUGAGAAUCACCUAACCCUCAAAAACAUAGACAACACGUAGUAUGGGUCACUACACAGAGUGCAAUUGAUAAUUUCUUAUCAUACCACAAGAUCCUAUGUGGUGCAUCAUUUGCGCUCGUGUGUUGACCAUUUAGAGUUCGAUCUUUGAGCUUCAUCUUGGUCAACCUAUAUCUCUACUCCAUGUUUAAUCUUGACGUCUUGAGGAUAUAUUGAAUUCUUCACUUGAAUAGCUUGCUUGAAUACUUGAUCAAUCAUGACUCAACACAUGAGUCCAUUAUGAUCAUAUCUUUGAGCCACUCCUAGAGUUCAUCAUUCAAAUCAUCGUUUUAAGAUCUUGAUCCAUUAUGGCUCAAACCAUAGCUCUAAGCAUGGCAACCUUAAGAUACUCCAAUGAACUUCAUUUUGAUCAUCUCAAUGUAAUUGUUGCUUCAAAGGAGUUGUCUUCCAUUAUUCUUCAAUCACAUUCCAAUGGGACUAACCAUCAAAUGUAUAUCUUAAUGCAACCAUUAGUCCAUAAGGAUUGUCAUUAAUUAACAAAACCACACAUGGGGACAACAUGUACUUUGAAUCUCCCCCAUUUUGGUAAUUGAUGACAAUCUCAACAAGAGGGUUCAUUUAAUGAAUUUUUAAACAAGCACACAAUUUUUUCCGAGGAUAAAUUGUAUACUUGCGGUGAAUAGCAUCAUUCAAAGAAACUUGAUGAUAUCAAAACCGGUUGUACUAACAUCAAAACACUACACACGCAUUUGAUGUUAGUAAGACCACAAUAUAUAGAGUAAGCUCCCCCACAAUAUAUGCAUGUGUGAAUGAACUUUGUAUUUCAUUGCAUAUAUUGGUUGAUAUAAACUAGUUGGAGAUUUCUCUAUAUAUUCAUUCAUGCAACAAGCAUAUAUAACUAGGGUGAAUAGCAUGAAUGACAACAAGAACUUCAAAAGAUAUUUAUUUUAAACCCUCUAAAAUUCUCCCCCAUUGGCAACAAAUGCCAAAAUGGAAGACAAAACAUCUAGAAGACCAAUAUAGUAUGAGUUCCUCCUUGAUGUGUGCAUAUCACAAGAUGUGAGUGAACGCAAAUGCACAUAUUCAACAAUUUGAGGAGCUCAGAAUAUAUAAAAUGCAACUAGAUAUGAAGAUACUAAGACAUGUGAGGAAACAGUCAAAACACAUGAGUGCGCAAGAUUAUAUGCCAAACAUACAAGCACUCACGUCACAACCUCUUACCAAAGCCACCAUAAGAAUAAGAAGAAACAAACAAAGUGGUCGGCAAGGAAUAAAUGAUAUCAAGGAAAGAUAUGAACUUUCUCAUGUAUAAAAAAUUUCUGAGUGGCCAAUCAUAAUCAUGAUAUGUAUCCGCAAAGAAACUUUGCAAACACAAAAUAUAUGCAAUUGAUAAGAACAUGAUAUACAGAAGUGAAUCCAUUAUUAUACAACUGAAAUCUAGUGAUAAUAGCAAGGCACAUGGCACAAAUUGAUCUCAUUUGCAUAACACAAAGUGAAGCAAGCAAUCAAAUGAUCCCAUGAGCCAAAAGGAUAAAAGAAUAUUAUAAUUUGGGCAAAUGAGUGUUCUAAGGAAAAUAGAGAAGCUCCCCAUGAUUUGUGCACUAUUUAGAAUUUUUGUAUUUGGAUACAAGUGCACAAAAUAGGAUCAUCACUCCCCCAAAAUCAAUAGGAACACAAAACAAUUUCAAGUAGGCAUAGAUAAGAAAAGAAACCUAGCAUUUGCAACAAACAUAUGGUUGAGCAACAUGUAAAUGAGGCAACCUAAGAAUAGGCACAACCAAAAUGAUGUGUGUGAGUCACGUCAAAGCACUUGAGAAGACUAGUAUAAGGAUGAGAGUUAAGCAUCAACAUAGCCUUGAGUAAAUGAGAUACAGGUGCAAGACAUGUCCUUCCCACACACACGGAGUUAAGAAGGACACACACACACACAUCAAGCAAAUGGGUUCACAAGCUCACUAAUAGCAAACUAAAAAUCAAAGCUUGUGACAACCCAUGAUGAAGAUAGGAAAUAAUAGGCUUGUCAAGACAAGCAUGAGGACAACAAUCUUCACCAAACAUGAGUGCACUAAGAUGUAAAGAGGUAAGACAUGCACUCAUUCAACAAAUGCUUCCAUGGAGCCACCAAAAAGAUAUAAAAAGUGAAUGAAAUGGUGGACAUGAAAGAAUAGGGAUAUUAACUAGAGAUGUAACUUCUCUCACUUGUAUAAGAUACUAGGUAGAUGAUAUCCACAAAGAAGGAUGUACACAUAACAUAGUUACAAAAGGAAGGAAUAAGACAUCCAAACGGGAGUCAUAAAAUAUACCAAUGAGAUCUUUGCUUGAAAGCAUAGCACAUGGCUUAAUAUAAUCUUAUUGUAUAUUAAUGAACUCCAAACACACAACCAUCAAAGAAAUCACAACUAGCAACAAGAGAUCGUCGUUGGGAUGCUUUGAGAAAGGAAACAAGUAUCACAGGAACGAGUCAAGAAAUUCAUGCCAUGAUGCAACCUACACAAGGUUGACCCCAUUUCUAUAUAUAUGCAUGAAGUAAAUACUUGUUACCGAGAUAGCAUUGGUAUGAAGUCAUAGAUCAAUAAAAUGUCCAAGCUUGGCUCUAAUUUCCUCAUAGUGCCACCACCUUCAUGAAUAAUCGAAGCACCCAAUGCUUCUCAAAUGUACCUAAAACAUUUAAGUACAAUAUGGUCCCCAAACUUAUUGGGUCCGAAGUAGUUAGCAUAACUACAACACAUAGGGUAAAACCACUUAAAUAUGUGCCUAUUUAUAUGAAUUUGAAUUUCAUGCACAUCAUAGCUAUUAAGAAUUUGAUGGAUUUACCAUAUAUAUAUUGGAUCAAAUAAGGCAAACAAGGCAUGUGAAUUUACAUAUAGUAAAUAUGCAUGCACAAGCCUACCAAAAUCCAGGGAGAUACAAAUUGGACAAAUGACCACAUAACUGUUAAUACUUCCAAUAACAUCACUAGUCAUUCAUGUUGACCAAAAUGAAUCAAAGUGACAAAUCAACAUAUGAUAGCACACAAUGAGCAUAUAAGAUAUGCAUUGCACACAUACUCAUAGUAAUAUCUCACUCAAAUAGAUAUAGGACACUAUAAACAAUGAGAUAACAAACUCUCAUAUAGAGCAAUAAGAUGAAUUCAAACAAAAUGGUAUUUCGGGUUAUCAUUCAGUGUAGAAACCAAAUAAGUACAUGAUCAUCUAUACUAACACAAGCAUAACAUGAGAGUUUAUAAAUAAACACAAUUCUUGGAUAGAAUAAUAUUAAUGCUCCAACUAGAUAGAUAAUUAUGCAAAGCAAUAAUUGGAAUAGCUAUGCAGAGGUCGGGGAGAUCCCCCUUUUUGAAAAAUAAUAAUUGGAAUAGCUUUAAUCAAAUGAUUUUCCAAAUAUGAUUUUAAAGAUAACCAUGAGCAAAACCGCACAAGAAUGCCAUACGUAAACAAGACAUUGCAUGCCACAGAGAUAUAAGAUAAUCUCAAAUAUAAAUUCUAAGUGGCAUCCCUCAAUUGUUCAUAUUAACAAGGAUUGUGAUAUGCACAAAGCGUAUCACUCUCCCAUAAUAUGAUAAUCCAUGUAUUAUCCACAAGAAGCAAAUGAAACCCAACUAAGGAUAAUUAAUGGAUGAGAAUUUGAGUUUCAAAUGAGCUUUACAUACCGCAUAGUAACUAGAUAAUAUUGCACUAACAAUACUAGGUGGUAUCCCACAUACAUACACAUUUAAGGUUUGUGAAAUGCGUAAAACAUAGCACUCCCCCAUAAUGUGAUGAUCCAUUAAUAUCUCAAAAGAGCCAAGUAAGAUUCAAAUAAUGAAGCAAUAAAGGCUUGAAACCACACACAUAAAUAUAUGAAGUGCAUUUGCGACCUACACAUGCUAGAUAACACAAAUCAAGCAUACUAGGAAGCACAACUAUAAAAGCACAUGCUAGGUACAAAACCUAAACAUGCAAGGGACAUAAUAACUUUCAAUGUAAACAAUGCAAGUACAAGUUACCGCAAAGAGGAGCAUUGGAUUGAUAGAUAUGAUGAUAAUCCACUUGAACUUGGCAUUAACCAUAACAUAUGGUGAAAAUAGUUUUUCUUCAUGAAGUAGCCAAGUCUCCAAUGCCCUCCACACACCUAUUGAUCAAGUUUGAGCUUGAUGGUCCCCAACCAAGUUGGGUCCUAAGAAGUUAGUAACAAUAGCAUGGCAACCCAAAUGGUCUUGUCCACUUUGAAACCACUUUGGGCACCCACAAAUUUGGCAAACACAUUGCCAACAAUAUCUUUCCUUAGUGAAUAAUAAUUAUUGACUAUAGGAGGCUUAGAUAUGUUACCAUUGGGGCAUGAUGAAGCUAUGUGUCCCUUUUGACGACAAUCAUAGCAACAUUUCCUCCCUUUUCUCUUCUUUAAUUUCUCGACUUGGGGAGCAAUAACAUGUUUCAUCAUGGAUAGUGGUUGUUCUUCAACUUGAGAUUGAGCUUGAGGCCUCUUCCCAUGUAGCUUCUCAUUAUAAGCCCUUUUCUUUAAUGGGCAAGAUCUCACAUGAUGUCCAGUAUUUUUGCAUUUGAAGCAAGUAAUGUUGGCCGAAUUCUUGUAAUUCCCUUGUCCCUUUUUCUUGUUCUUGGACUUCUUCUUGUUGGAGUGAAAAUUAUGUCCAACAUCACACUUUUCCAAGUCUUUCUUCAAACUAGUGACUUGGGCCUUGAUCUCAUUAAUUUCCUCUACAUGGUUAGUUUCAACACUAGAAACAAGAGGACUAGUGGGAGUAGAAACUUCAUGGUUAGAGCAGCAAGACAAGGUGAGCAAUUCAUCAUGAGUGGAUAUAAUAUGAGAGGUGGAUGAAUUGCAAGGAUUAGCACAUGGCAAUAAGGCAUUUAGAGUAGAUGUGCUAAUGUUCGUAUGAGACUCACAAGAUUUUACCUCGGAGACCAUAGCCUCGUGAUCUAACUUUAGCUUACUAUGAGAGAUUAAAAGAUCCUCAUGAGUGCCCGAGAGGUUUUCAUGACUUUCUUCCAAUUUCCCAUAAUUUCUUGUUAGCAAAGCAAGUUGAGCACAUAGAUCAACAUUCUCCUUCAAAAUUGAUGCUUCACAUGAAAUCGAGUUAGUAGCACAAACAUCAUUAUCAAUAUGAGAGGAGCAAGUAGAACUUAGUGACUUCUCAUGAGUUGAUUGAAGCUCCUCAUGAGACUUAAAGAGUUUUAUGAGCUCUCCCUUGACACUAUUGCAUUCAAGGAGAAGGAGCUCAAAAUCCUGUUUAAGCUUACAAUGAGUAACUUUAAUCUCUUCUUUUGAAGACCUCAAGUCACUAAGCGUUUCAUGAGCCUUAGCAAGUUCAUGUUCAAGCUGUUCACUUUUAGCUUCCUCAUUGAGAAAUAAAUCAUUACGUUUUUCAAAGCAAGCAAGAACAUCUUGUAACCUUUUAUAAGUGUUAUUUUUAGCUCUACGAAGAGUUUUCCCAAUCUCAUAGAGAUUUUGAGUCAAGACUUCAUCAUCUUCCUCAUUACAACUAUCAUCAUUAUCACUAAGAGAAGAUGAUACCUCGUCAUUACCUCUUGCCAUGAGGCACAUGUGAACACAAGGGGUUGAUGAUGAUUCUUUUGGAGAGGAGGAUUCUUCAUCAAUCAAGCAUGCCUCAUCUUUAUUGAUUUCCUCUACAUGGUUAGUCAUAGAACAACUAGAGGAAACCAAAACAUUUCUAUCAUGGCAACAUGGGAGAUCAAGCAUAUCAUCACAAAUGAGCUUAACACCAUCAUUACAAGAUAUUUCUUCAGACACCAUGUCAUUACCUUGUGGUAUGCCACAUGUAGGUGAAGUGAAAUAUGUUGAGGUAUGCAAGUAAUCGGAGGUGAAAGCAAUAGAGAGCUCUACAUGAUUUAAAAAUGUGGAGAACUCCUCCAUUAACUCCCCAAAAAGAAUAUUGUCUUCAUGAAGAUUGGACCCACCAUAUAUAUCUUCAAUUUUAGUCCAAGCAUCAUGAGCCAACAAACAAGACGAAAUUGACUUGAACACCUCGAAGGUUAUAGCUUGGUGAAUGAUACUUAAAGCUUCACUAUCAAGAUGCAUAUCACCAACUGACGGAGAUUGUCCAUCCUUUAGAUUUGAAUUCCCUACAACCACAAUCCGCAAAGCAUUUGGACCCAUGGCCCGAAAGUGACAAAGCAUGCGUAAUCUCCACAUAAUAUAAUUUGUGCCAUUAAAACAAAAUGUGUCAUCGUGCACAAGUUUACUAGUCGACAUCAUUACUCUCUAGGCAGUUAAGCCUAAUAAGGAGAGACCUAGCUCUGAUACCAAUUGAAAGGACCAUGAUGUCGCCUAGAGGGGGGUGAAUAGGCGUUUUAAAAUCUUUUAUGGAUUUGGCUAUCUCCCAAUGCAGAAAUAAACUAAGCGGAUACUUUUCAAGCACAAAUCCUAAAUAUACUAGGCUCACUAAGGGCACCAACAACUUAGCAUGAACAAGAUGAGAACAACGAGGAUAUGAGUAAGCAUAAGUAAGUUACACAAACUUACUCAAUGUACAUCACGGGAUAUGGAAAUGGAUAAUACACUCACCCACAAGUAGGCAAUACAAGCUUACACAAAUUGUAUCACAAUAUAUGGAAUUGAAUGAUACAAGCACACUCAAGUAAGCACUACAAGCUUACACAAGAUAUGUUACAAGCUAGCAAUUCGCACUAAAUACAAGAUAGAACAAUAGUAGGAAGUCUGAAUUGUGGACUAUAAAGAGUUGGACUAAAUAAUCUCUACGAUAUGGUAACCAACACAAUAUAAUGAGGACAACAAGAAUAGUGAAUGCGCGGUCAAGGGACCAAGGUAAACCACAAGUAAGGAGUUAGGGUUAGGGAUAACCGAUGUCACGGGGACGAUGAUGUAUCCCGAUGUUCACUUCCUUGGAGGGAAGCUAGUCACCAUUAGAGAGGUGGAUGUUACCACGAAGGCACACCAAUGCCACGAAGGCUCACCCUAUUCUCCUUGAGAUAUCACCACGAAGGCGAUUCCCAACCACUAGAGGUAGACCUUGAGGUGGCCUCCAAACCUUCACAAACUUUCCGGGGGACAAAUCACAAGUUUAUUCCUCACCGGAGCACUCCUACCGCCUAGGAGUCUCCAACCUCCAAGAGUAACAAGAUCAAGGGGGAAAUGCUCAAGACUUGCUAAAAUCACGAAUUGCUUUGGUCAAGGGAAGGAGAGGGAGUGGAUCUUCACUUGAGUGGAAUCUCUCUCAAGAACUCUCACAAAUCUCUCCGGGAUCUAAGAUUUGAGGUAGGAGAAAGGAGAGGGAGCUUUUCUUCAAGUGUGGGUCAAGAUAGUUGUGUUGCUCAGCCCCUCCACGAAGUGGUGAAGGGAUAUUUAUAGUAUGGGCACAAAUCUGGCCGUUGGGGGGGGGGGAGGGGGGAAUUUUGCUCAGGAAAGUGUCAGACGUCCGGUGGCAAAAUAGGCACCGGACGUCCGAUGGAACACUGGACGUCCGACGGCUGUAGCACGCCAUCAGACGAAUGUAUCAGGAUAUUUGCGAAACAGGUUUGACGGACGUCCGACAUUUUCCGGACGUCUGGAGACCGGACGUCCGGAACUUACCGGAUUUCCGUCCGUUUGAUUCUGGAUUGGCGCACCGGAUUUCCGGACGUUACCGGACGUCCGGCCAAAAUAACAGCAGGAACCCCAAAACUAAAACAUGCAUAACUUUCACAUCCGGACUCCGAUUUUGAUGAUCUUGGGCUCGUUUUGAAGCUAUGGAAAAGCUCCAAGUCCUCAGAUAGAGAACCACCCAAAAUAAACCAAAAUGGAGGGUUCAAAUUAUGCAAAGGUUAGAUCAUAUAUUUUGGGAAACUAUUUGGCUUUGGCUUUUCUUUGGUAUAUAGGAUAUGAGUGGAAUUGUGUAUAGAAGAUGCUGACUUGAGAAAAUCCAUCACAAACCCCUUUGACCCCCUCAUAAUAGUGUGGGAUCCCUAUAACUCAAGAAUCAUAAAAAUAGCUACACUACGUAGCUAUCAAGAAUCCAUUAUUUCUAUUCCCACUUCAUCACUACAGUCACCUCCUUCGUGUUCUUCAAUAUUUUCGCGGUACGGUCUCUCACCGCUUGUUCUCCCCCCACUCCAGCUCAUUACAAGUUUAGGCCUAUUCAGAUGCUAUGUUGGCUAGUGAUCCCUCUGAUCGCCGUUCACUUUCUGUUUACUUUAUUUUUCUUGGUGGCUCUCUCAUUGCCUGGAAGAUGAAGAAACAUAUUAAAGUUUCCCAUUCGAGUGCAGAGGUUGAGUGGUGUUGAUGCUCUUUUUUGUGCGUCGAUGUGCAGGAUUAUGUUAUUGCUCUUUAGUAUGUGCCUUCUCAGUUAUAGUUGGCGGAUUUCUUUACAAAGGACUAGACUAGAUGAAAGGACCACGAUGUCGCCUAGAGGGGGGGGGGGNNNNNNNNNNGAAUAGGCGUUUUAAAAUCUUUUACGGAUUUGGCUAUAUCCUAAUGCGGAAAUAAACUAAGCGGAUACUUUUCAAGCACAAAUCCUAAAUAUACUAGGCUCACUAAGGGCACCAACAACUUAGCAUGAACAAGAUGAGAACAACGAGGAUAUGAGUAAGCAUAAGUAAGUUACACAAACUUACUCAAUGUACAUCACGGGAUAUGGAAAUGGAUAAUACACUCACCCACAAGUAGGCAAUACAAGCUUACACAAAUUGUAUCACAAUAUAUGGAAUUGAAUGAUACAAGCAAACUCAAGUAAGCACUACAAGCUUACACAAGAUAUGUUACAAGCUAGCAAUUCGCACUAAAUACAAGAUAGAACAAUAGUAGGAAGUAUGAAUUGCGGACUAUAAAGAGUUGGCCUAAAUAAUCUCUACGAUAUGGUAACCAACACAAUAUAAUGAGGACAACAAGAAUAGUGAAUGCGCGGUCAAGGGACCAAGGUAAACCACAAGUGAGGAGUUAGGGUUAGGGAUAACCGAUGUCACUGUCACAUCCCUAGCUGCUGGUAGUGCUCUAGGCUAGCUCAUGUGUGCAUCAUGUUUAAAUUCUGAAAAUUUGAACUGAGGGAAUUUUGGAAGCCUCAAAAACUUAAAUAAAAGAGGGGCAAAAACCCUAGAAAUCUCAUUCAUUGCUCCAAAAUGCUCUUCUUAAAUGUUUGAUAAUUUUUGGUAAGGGUUCUGGUCCCAACCAAAAUAUUGAACAUUUUUAAGGAAUUAUUUUUGGGACUUUGGAUUUAAUUCAUUAGCUAUUUGAAUUUGAAUUAUAUUCAUAUAAUUAGAAUAUAAUUUCAAAUACCCCUGAUAUAUUUUAUAAGCUUUUGGAAAAGUCCAUCUAGCAAUAUAAAAUAUUCAGAGGAGUUUUUGGCAUUGUUUGAAUUAUUUUAAAUUCAAAACAGUGGCAAAAUAAAUUAAAUAAAACAAAACAGAAGAAAAAAAAAAGAACAGAAGCCUACCUGGGCCACUUACCUGCAGUCCACCUAGCGCCCCACCUGGUGGCCCAGCAGAAGCCGGCCCAGCCCACCACUGCAGCCCUCCGUCGUCUUCCUCCCCUCGCCCCGAAGCAGCUGCGUGCUCGCACGCGCACGGCCGCGCGGCCACCUCCUGCUUGCCGACGAGCCCCUGGCCGCGUGGACGACUCCCGCAGGCCGUCCCGAUCCCGCUGACCGUUUCGCUCACUCUCCCCCCUCGACCCUCCCUCCUAUGCUCCCUCUCUCCCGCCUGGACCGAACGGAGCCGCCGUCACCGACGAGCUCCCUCGCGGCCACAGCCACCCCCUCGCUCCCUCUCCACACCCCUGAGCUCCGUCCCGACCCCAUGAAGCUCCACCACGACGCAUGCGACGCCGGGUGCCCUGUAGCCACGCCAUCACCGCCAUCUUCAUCGCCACGGCCGGCAAUCGCCGCCGACAGGACGUCCCCGAGCCCACUCAGCGUCUCGUCCGACUCCCCGUGAGCUCCUCUUCUCUUCCCCUCACUCCCCGCACCUGAUUUCGUCCCCUAGCUCCAUCUUCCACCACGGCCGAAGCUCGCCGCCGCCGUGCCUCGUCGCCGUCGUGGCCAGAGCCACUGUGGCUCGAAGCCGGGCACACCAUCGUGCUCCACACCUCACCAGGAGCACGUAGCACGCACCAACGCCUCCCCUAGCGCCCUGCAUCGCCUAACCCGCCGUUGGCCGAACUCCGGCCGCCGCUCACGAGCUCGCCAUCGUCGGUAUCGGCCACCACAGGCACGGCCACCACCACCAUUCGAUGCGCACCAGCAAGGGCUCUCCAACGAGCCCAAGCACAGCCUCGCCCGUGCCCUGUAGCGCGUUUCCGGCUCGCGCCGCCGUCUCGGGCCUCGCCGGCGUCAUGUCGCCGGUGGGUUUGACCCCACUGACCCGGGAUUUGACCCUGCUAAUUAACCCUGUGACACUGACAGCAGGGCCCCACCUGCUAAUUAAUCUUAGUUUAUUUUCUGUUUAGUUUAACUAACCACAUGGGCCCCACCCGUCAGCUUUGACCACGCUGACAUGGACGUUGACCGACCCCACACGUCAGUAUUGACCUGCUGACGUGUCUGUUGACCCGGCCCCACCUGCCAUUGACACUAACCAGCCUCAGUCACUGACCAGUGGACCCCACUGGUCAGGUUUGACCACCAGCAGCGUUUGUUGACCUGCUGACGUCACAGUGACGCAGUGCUGACGCAGUAAAUCAUUUCUGGAUUUAUUUAUUAUUCAGGAAUUUCAGAAAAUGCCCUAAACUUUAAUAAAUCCUAGAAAAUUAACCGUAACUCCAAAUUAAAUAAAUUAUAUAUGAAAAAUUAUCAGAAAAAUUCAAGGAAUCAAUCUGUACCAUUUUUAUGCAUGUUAGAACAACUUAUAGCUGCUGUAUAGCACAAAUCAAUUAAAUGGCAUUUGAAUAAUCACAUAUGGAGUUUGAAUUUGAAUCUUGUAUUCAAACCAACUUCAUUUAAUCUGUUGCUAGUUGCAUUAGCUCAAAACACAUUCAUAUUGCCAUGUCAUAGCAUGCAUCAUUUUGUGCAUUGCAUUGAUUGUGUUCUUCUUUGUUGCCGGUAUCUGUUCCCUCCCGGUAGACGAUGUUCCGACGUUGUGAUCGUUGACACUGAUGAAGACUCAAUGUUAUCUUCAGAAGUGCCAGGCAAGCAAAACCCCCUUGUUCAUUCCGAUACAAUCCCACUCUCUCGCUCCUGCUCUCUUUUACUGCAUUAGGACAACAAUGAUUCAUCUGUUACUUGCUGCGGUAGCUGAACCCCUUUAUCCUUUGCAUGACCUGUCAUUCCACAGUAAAUAGAUGAAACCCACUAGCAUGGGUAGGAGUUGUUUGAGCCCUGUUGUGCCUACUCAUUCUUGCUUGUUUGUCAUGCCUGCUACUGCUUAGAGUUGAGUCAGGUCUGAUUCAUCGGGGAUGAAUCAGAGGCGUGUGAACAUGUCCUACUGUGUGUGAGCUAAGUGUGUGAACACGUUUUGGUAAAGGUAGCGGUGAGAGGCCAUGUAGGAGUACAUGGUGGGUUGUCUCAUUGCAGCCGUCCUCAGGAACUGAGUUCUGUGUUUGUGAUCCAUGAUUCAGCUACUACCACGCAUUGGGCCCGAAACCAAUGGACCCUCUCGGCUUCUUGAUCACCCUUGUCCUCUGUCCAGGAGUUGCAAGUAGUUUCUGGUGUUUGUAGUAUGCUGGAGGCCGUGGGCAGCGCUGAUCGUAGGGGUGGGCUGUGAUACGGUAGGCACGUGGCACGGUGUACUGGGCGCCCGUUUGGUGUCUCGGGAACCCUGUUCACAUCGUUUGGGGCUGUGAGCGAAACUCCGGCCGGAUCUCCUCAUGGAUGGAACCCGAAUAGGCGAUAAACCUGGACUAGAGACUUAGGUGAUUAGGUAGGUCGUGGCCGACACCCACGUUGGGCUUCCGCUUGAAUGUUGCCGAGUACAUGUCGUGUAAACGCCGGUAAGUGGUGAGAGCGUGUAUGAAGAAGUACACCCCUGCAGGGUUAACCUAAUCUAUUCGAAUAGCCGUGUCCGCGGAAAAGGACUUCUGGGUUGCUUAUAUCAGUUCAUAGACAAGUGAAAGUGGAUACUCUAAAAUAUGCAAGAUAAGCGUGAGUGCUAUGGAUGGCGUUCUCGUAGGGAGGCGGGAGCGGAUCCAUAGUGGUGUAUUGAUAUGGUGAAUAUGUGGACUCGUGUGCGUCACCUCAAAAGAGUCGCUUGCAGUCGUAGUUUAGGAUAGCCACCGAGUCAAAGCUGGCUUGCUGCAGUUAAACCCCACCACCCCUUUGUUGAUAAUGAUGCAUAUGUAGUUAGUUCUGAUGUAAGUCUUGUUGGGUACAUUUGUACUCACGUGUGCCUAUUUUAUGUUUUUGCAGAGAGACUUCAGUCUCACUAGUAGUUCCGCUUGGACUUCGACGUUUAGCUUGUUACCUCAGCUACGAUCUUGUGCCCUCGGCAGUAUCUGGUAGAUAGUCAGGCUUCUCAGCCUUUUUCAUUUAUAGUUGUCUGUACUCAGACAUGAUAGCUUCCGCUUGUGCUUUGACUUGUAUGCUCUGAAUGUUGGGUCAUGAGACCUAUGUUUGUAAUAUCUCGCUCCUCGGAGCCUAAUGAAUAAAUACUUGAGUCAUAGAGUCAUGUUGUGAUGCCAUGUUGUGUUUGCACAUAUCGAGCAUAUUGUGUGUAUGUUAUUGAAAUGCUUGGUAUGUGUGGGAUCUGACUAUCUAGUUGUUUAUCCUUAGUAGCCUCUCUUACCGGGAAAUGUCUCCUAGUGUUUCCAAUGGUAGCUUGCUACUGCUCCGGAACACUUAGGCUGGCCGGCAUGUGUCCUUCUUCGUUCCUGUGUCUGUCCCUUCGGGGAAAUGUCACGCGAUGAAUACCGGAGUCCUGUUAGCCCGCUACAGCCCGGUUCACCGGAGUCCUGCUAGCCCAGUGCUACAGCCUGGAUUCACUUGCUGAUGACCGACACGUUCGAUGCUGGGUCAUGGAUGCCUGUCCCUGUAAGUUUGUGCCACUUUGGGUUUACGACUAGCCAUGUCAGCCCGGGCUCCUUAUCAUAUAGAUGCUAGCGACACUGUCAUAUACGUGUGCCAAAAGGCGCAAACGGUCCCGGGUAAAGGUAGGGCGACACCCGUGGGAAUACCGUGCGUGAGGCCGCAAAGUGAUAUGAGGUGUUACAUGCUAGAUCGAUGUGGCAUUGAGUCGGGGUCCUGACAGCGUUGGUAUCAGAGCUUGACUGCCUGUAGGAUUACCAAGCCAAACUGGUCGAAGUUGAGUCUAGAAAUUCUUUAGUUAUAUAAGGGAAUUGAUUGUGGGAUGGUACGUAAGGCUCUUUUUACUCCUUAUACCUCAUGGCCUUCUGAUCUGAGUCAUCAUCUUCUCUUCUACGGGGAUUAAGAACUAGGCUAUCUCUUCUUUCUAUUAGGAUCACGUGUUACUAAUCAGUGGACUUAUAAGAUUGUUGGAUUUAAGUCUCAGUUCAGUUCCUACUACUUCCGUAUGUUAAUUGUUGAUCUCGAAACCUUGAUAUUGUGCUUCUGAGUGGUUAUGCCACCAUUUUUGUGAAUGUCUCAAAUCUUUUCUGAGCAUUUACAGCCGUUAUGCUGUCCGAGUUAUCCCAGGUUUCUAAGUAGUCUGAUGCAUUUGCAAAUCCUUUCUUCCCGUUUCAAUGUUCCCAUGGGCCAGAUUAACCACACUAAUCAGUGAGUUGAGGUACUCCGUUACCUUGACAUAUAUGUUGGAGAUAUUAUUAUGACCCUAGGUGUCUUAGGGGAUCAUCUAGUAAUUUAGCCAUGAUUUGUGUUCCCAGUGUGAUGAUUCUGGCCUUUAUUCUCGAAAGCAUUCCGUGAUGCUACUUAGUAGCAGGUAUUCUACUCCUGGGUUUUGAACCCGAGAUUCACUCUACUUACCUCAUGUUGAUAGUGUUUGCUAGUUCCUUUAGGAUAUUUGUAACCUUUGCGAUAGUUCUCGAGGUUCGUGGUACAUCCUUCUUCCAAUUACCAUGAACCAUUCUUGGCAGGAGUUCUUCUGAACCAAAAGAUGACAACAAGAGUGCUCUCGAUGAGUUCUCCAUGCUAUAUUGUGACUCUGCCAGUUCUACCUUUCUGCAUGGGUUAUCCGGAAGAAAUAUGUUGAACUUCGUUCGACAUGCUAAUCCAUGCAUCCACAACUCAGAAAAUCAUAUGUUCUUUUGAGUUGUCCCAUCUUAGUUGUUUCCGACCCUCGCCUAUCAAUUGAUAGUCAAGAGUAUGCGUGCAUUCGUUCGUUGAUGCCUAUUACCCUUGUGGUCCGCCAAGCCAUUCUAUUUCAGAAUGAAUAGGAGAAACAAACUCCAGAAUCUCAUCCAUAUCUAGGAUUGGGUCAAAGCAAUUGUAUUCCGCAGAUCAAAAUGCCAAUCCAGCUUCUGGUCUGUUCUACCUUGAAGUAUUACCAUCUUUAUAUCAGGAAUAUCAUGGGAAUUGCACACCAUCUUAUGAAUUCUUGACGCAGUAAUACUUCUGAUCAUCAUUGAUAAUUUCUUGGUUUCCGUGUUAUUGUAACCAGAAUGCCGACAAAUGAAUCAUGGCGUGUGAAAUCAAUACUGCUAGCAACUCCAUUGCUUGGUAGUUAAAUGGACGAUAACCUCAUUCUUAGCGUGUUGAUUAUUGAAUCGUCACCCUAAGGUUGAUUGUGCUACCUAGUCCUUAUUUCUGGUGCACUCUCCGAUCAGUGAGUUAGGAUAGUGCCAAUCCUUGCUUAUUUGAUCAUAUCGUCUUGCCCUGAAAAGUAAGAUUGUUCUCGAGCUUAGUAACAUACCGGUGGUUCAUGAUAUUCCAAAUUUCUUCUCGGAAGUAUCACCAGGUUGUCGCCUGACCGCUAUGUUGAUCUCGUGAUCAAGUUGGGUUCUUGUGAACCACCUUCUCUCCAAAAAUCGGUGUUAGAUAUCCCUGAGCUAGUUGGUUAAGCUAGAUAACAACUUGGAGAGUUGGAAGAUAAAAGCUUGCCUGACUUAGUUCGUUCCAAAGGGAUAUUCUUGUGUAGGGUGUGCUGAAGAAAGAUGAUAUCUUCAUCGAUUGGUCCUUGUGAUCAGUUGCUGGACCUAUUGUCUUAUCAAUCCUUUGAUUUGAGUGUGGGCUAUCGUCAAAUCAAAUUAGUACCAACGAUGCUCGUAAUGUUGUCUUAUUCGUGGUUGAUCCCUCGAGCAUACACCAUUACAUCUUUGGUCUGACCAAUGCUAUCACCGUGUUCACUUAACUAUGGAAUUCCUUUUAAAAGGAAACCUAGAUGAAUUGUUGUUGAGCCCAUUGGCAACAUCCUUAUCUCCUCCAUGAUGUUGUUGAACAUUAAGCUAGUGUUGGAAACUUUUGAAAGCAUUUUCUUCAUGCUAGCUCAUGAAGUAUUUGUUUGAUGAAAGGAGUGACUUCCUCUUAUACACGUGCAUUUGGUGAAAGUUGCCGCCGUGAAUUUGAGAAAGAUUGUUUUGUUUCCUUUGGAAUCAUCCCAAAUCAGUCAUGCACAUGUGCGAAGUAUUCUGUAGUCUGGAGACUUGCAACCUUCAUUCUAUAUGUGUCCCUAGCACACUAAGCCACUGAUUGACUUGUUCAAGGAAAAGAAGUCUAUGCUUGGGAUCUAAUCCAUGGACUUGCGUAAAGACUUCGAUAUCCUCGAUGAUGGUUCUCCACCUGAACUCGGUAGUGUUUAAUUAUAAGACUGCCACGUGGCCAUGCUUGUCUGGGACAACGUGUUCGCAUGUUUGUAGCAGAACCAGCUCAUGUUUUGGAGCUUACUAUCGUAGCUCACUCCCCGAGAAUCCCGCAACAUUAUCUCGUCGAUUUGUGUUGCAAACUUUCAUUUUUCUUUCUAGACUUGAUGAGUUUGGGAUAUCCUGACACCAACCAGAUCUGAAUCUCAGGCAGAUGUGAUGGUUGGAACAUUUCCCAAGAAUUAUAAUAUUGGUCUCUCAAUAACCGGCAAGGUGGAUGUCGUGGCCAACACACCCAGCCGGAAGACCUGUUAUUAUAAUAUCUUGAUUGAUGAAGUUGGCCACCUCCCCAUAGGGAUUUCGUAGGAUUACUCCCUAGUUGCCCCUAUGGAUUUCUGUGUUCCGAAGUCCGACCUUUUUACUUGAUGUUCUAGAUAUCAAACCAUAUCUAUGAAUGGGUACACUAGCACAUCAAGGAGAACAUUAGAAGCGGAGUGCUAAAUGUCUCUCGGUCGAUCAUCCAGAUUCUAUCUCCUUGGCCCCGUCAAGGGUGAAAUCUGAGAAGGUGUUAUCUUUCUUUGCUUCUGCAUCCUCCAUCACCAUUCAUCAUGGUAGUAUGUUGUGUUGCCAGGAUCCUUGACACGGAUGUUGGUAAAACCUUGAUGAUUAUGGAAUUGCUCAAGUUCUUGAGAGCACGCACAAGCGCUAGGUAUUAUCGCCGGCACUAACCGGGAUUGCUCCUAGUCUCGUCGGUUAUGCUAUAACCACUCCAACAGUGAAUUCACUCUCUAUUGUUGGGUUCUUCCCCAGUUACCAGAAUCAUUCCCAGCAUUUGCAUUUUGUUCCCAGCUUGCACCGCCAAUGUGCCAUUCUACCAUGGGUCUCUUCCAUUUCCGGGGGUAAGCAAAUUCAUCCAUUACGUUGUCUUCAACAAGGCAAUCCACAUCAUCCAAGUCCGAGUAUGCCAUUCUACCGACCCCCGCCAAUCGAUUGCUGUGAUUGCCUUCGGCUGAUAUAGAGAGUCUCAAUGAUCUCUAUAUCAAAGGUAAUUCUUUUUGCCACUUAAGAUAAUAGUUUACGAAUCACCCUUCUCCAGGAUGUUUCGUCGUGGUGUCAUGGCAAUUCAACUCCUCGCUACGUUGACAAUCGUUUACCACCUUCUUAAGUGUGGAAUUGUUGUCCACCUAGUGAACCUUCGUCAUCCGUUUCUUUCCACCCCUCUUGAUGUGUAUCUCGUGUCUCAACCCGAGAGAUGGUCCUAUGUCUCAUUCCGUGAGUUGUUCGAUCUUCGAGAAGAUCGACCCCUCUAGAGUCUCCUUCUUCCCUCCAUGUCAUGUUGACAGGAUUUCUCAGAGCAAGACGACAAGACAAAGAUGGUGUUCAAAUCAACGUUCAUUUGAAGUGCAACCUGGAUCGUGAAGAUUGUACUAGUUUGCGUUUCCCCUUCAUCCUACCCUACGCUUGAAUCUCGAGACGAGAUUCUUGUUUAGUGGGGGUGAGUUGUCACAUCCCUAGCUGCUGGUAGUGCUCUAGGCUAGCUCAUGUGUGCAUCAUGUUUAAAUUCUGAAAAUUUGAACUGAGGGAAUUUUGGAAGCCUCAAAAACUUAAAUAAAAGAGGGGCAAAAACCCUAGAAAUCUCAUUCAUUGCUCCAAAAUGCUCUUCUUAAAUGUUUGAUAAUUUUUGGUAAGGGUUCUGGUCCCAACCAAAAUAUUGAACAUUUUUAAGGAAUUAUUUUUGGGACUUUGGAUUUAAUUCAUUAGCUAUUUGAAUUUGAAUUAUAUUCAUAUAAUUAGAAUAUAAUUUCAAAUACCCCUGAUAUAUUUUAUAAGCUUUUGGAAAAGUCCAUCUAGCAAUAUAAAAUAUUCAGAGGAGUUUUUGGCAUUGUUUGAAUUAUUUUAAAUUCAAAACAGUGGCAAAAUAAAUUAAAUAAAACAAAACAGAAGAAAAAAAAAAGAACAGAAGCCUACCUGGGCCACUUACCUGCAGUCCACCUAGCGCCCCACCUGGUGGCCCAGCAGAAGCCGGCCCAGCCCACCACUGCAGCCCUCCGUCGUCUUCCUCCCCUCGCCCCGAAGCAGCUGCGUGCUCGCACGCGCACGGCCGCGCGGCCACCUCCUGCUUGCCGACGAGCCCCUGGCCGCGUGGACGACUCCCGCAGGCCGUCCCGAUCCCGCUGACCGUUUCUCUCACUCUCCCCCCUCGACCCUCCCUCCUAUGCUCCCUCUCUCCCGCCUGGACCGAACGGAGCCGCCGUCACCGACGAGCUCCCUCGCGGCCACAGCCACCCCCUCGCUCCCUCUCCACACCCCUGAGCUCCGUCCCGACCCCAUGAAGCUCCACCACGACGCAUGCGACGCCGGGUGCCCUGUAGCCACGCCAUCACCGCCAUCUUCAUCGCCACGGCCGGCAAUCGCCGCCGACAGGACGUCCCCGAGCCCACUCAGCGUCUCGUCCGACUCCCCGUGAGCUCCUCUUCUCUUCCCCUCACUCCCCGCACCUGAUUUCGUCCCCUAGCUCCAUCUUCCACCACGGCCGAAGCUCGCCGCCGCCGUGCCUCGUCGCCGUCGUGGCCAGAGCCACUGUGGCUCGAAGCCGGGCACACCAUCGUGCUCCACACCUCACCAGGAGCACGUAGCACGCACCAACGCCUCCCCUAGCGCCCUGCAUCGCCUAACCCGCCGUUGGCCGAACUCCGGCCGCCGCUCACGAGCUCGCCGUCGUCGGUAUCGGCCACCACAGGCACGGCCACCACCACCAUUCGAUGCGCACCAGCAAGGGCUCUCCAACGAGCCCAAGCACAGCUUCGCCCGUGCCCUGUAGCGCGUUUCCGGCUCGCGCCGCCGUCUUGGGCCUCGCCGGCGUCAUGUCGUCGGUGGGUUUGACCCCACUGACCCGGGAUUUGACCCUGCUAAUUAACCCUGUGACACUGACAGCAGGGCCCCACCUGCUAAUUAAUCUUAGUUUAUUUUCUGUUUAGUUUAACUAACCACAUGGGCCCCACCCGUCAGCUUUGACCACGCUGACAUGGACGUUGACCGACCCCACACGUCAGUAUUGACCUGCUGACGUGUCUGUUGACCCGGCCCCACCUGCCAUUGACACUAACCAGCCUCAGUCACUGACCAGUGGACCCCACUGGUCAGGUUUGACCACCAGCAGCGUCUGUUGACCUGCUGACGUCACAGUGACGCAGUGCUGACGCAGUAAAUCAUUUCUGGAUUUAUUUAUUAUUCAGGAAUUUCAGAAAAUGCCCUAAACUUCAAUAAAUCCUAGAAAAUUAACCGUAACUCCAAAUUAAAUAAAUUAUAUAUGAAAAAUUAUCAGAAAAAUUCAAGGAAUCCAUCUGUACCAUUUUUAUGCAUGUUAGAACAACUUAUAGCUGCUGUAUAGCACAAAUCAAUUAAAUGGCAUUUGAAUAAUCACAUAUGGAGUUUGAAUUUGAAUCUUGUACCAACUUCAUUUAAUCUAUUGCUAGUUGCAUUAGCUCAAAACACAUUCAUAUUGCCAUGUCAUAGCAUGCAUCAUUUUGUGCAUUGCUUUGAUUGUGUUCUUCUUUGUUGCCGGUAUCCGUUCCCUCCCGGUAGACGAUGUUCCGACGUUGUGAUCGUUGACACUGAUGAAGACUCAAUGUUAUCUUCAGAAGUGCCAGGCAAGCAAAACCCCCUUGUUCAUUCCGAUACAAUCCCACUCUCUCAAUCCUGCUCUCUUUUACUGCAUUAGGACAACAAUGAUUCAUCUGUUACUUGCUGCGGUAGCUGAACCCCUUUAUCCUUUGCAUGACCUGUCAUUCCACAGUAAAUAGAUGAAACCCACUAGCAUGGGUAGGAGUUGUUUGAGCCCUGUUGUGCCUACUCAUUCUUGCUUGUUUGUCAUGCCUGCUACUGCUUAGAGUUGAGUCAGGUCUGAUUCAUCGGGGAUGAAUCAGAGGCGUGUGAACAUGUCCUACUGUGUGUGAGCUAAGUGUGUGAACACGUUUUGGUAAAGGUAGCGGUGAGAGGCCAUGUAGGAGUACAUGGUGGGUUGUCUCAUUGCAGCCGUCCUCAGGAACUGAGUUCUGUGUUUGUGAUCCAUGAUUCAGCUACUACCACGCAUUGGGCCCGAAACCAAUGGACCCUCUCGACUUCUUGAUCACCCUUGUCCUCUGUCCAGGAGUUGCAAGUAGUUUCUGGUGUUUGUAGUAUGCUGGAGGCCGUGGGCAGCACUGACCGUAGGGGUGGGCUGUGAUGCGGUAGGCACGUGGCACGGUGUACCGGGCGCCCGUUUGGUGUCUCGGGAACCCUGUUCACAUCGUUUGGGGCUGUGAGCGAAACUCCGGCCGGAUCUCCUCAUGGAUGGAACCCGGAUAGGCGAUAAACCUGGACUAGAGACUUAGGUGAUUAGGUAGGUCGUGGCCGACACCCACGUUGGGCUUCCGCUUGAAGGUUGCCGAGUACAUGUCGUGUAAACGACGGUAAGUGGUGAGAGCGUGUAUGAAGAAGUACACCCCUGCAGGGUUAACCUAAUCUAUUCGAAUAGCCGUGUCCGCGGAAAAGGACUUCUGGAUUGCUUAUAUCAGUUCAUAGACAAGUGAAAGUGGAUACUCUAAAAUACGCAAGAUAAGCGUGAGUGCUAUGGAUGGCGUUCUCGUAGGGAGGCGGGAGCGGAUCCAUAGUGGUGUAUUGAUAUGGUGAAUAUGUGGACUCGUGUGCGUCACCUCAAAAGAGUCGCUUGCAGUCGUAGUUUAGGAUAGCCACCGAAUCAAAGCUGGCUUGCUGCAGUUAAACCCCACCACCCCUUUGUUGAUAAUGAUGCAUAUGUAGUUAGUUCUGAUGUAAGUCUUGCUGGGUACAUUUGUACUCACGUGUGCCUAUUUUAUGUUUUUGCAGAGAGACUUCAGUCUCACUAGUAGUUCCGCUUGGACUUCGACGUUUAGCUUGUUACCUGAGCUACGAUCUUGUGCCCUCGGCAGUAUCUGGUAGAUAGUCAGGCUUCUCAGCCUUUUUCAUUUAUAGUUGUCUGUACUCAGACAUGAUAGCUUCCGCUUGUGCUUUGACUUGUAUGCUCUGAAUGUUGGGUCAUGAGACCUAUGUUUGUAAUAUCUCGCUCCUCGGAGCCUAAUGAAUAAAUACUUGAGUCAUAGAGUCAUGUUGUGAUGCCAUGUUGUGUUUGCACAUAUCGAGCAUAUUGUGUGUAUGUUAUUGAAAUGCUUGGUAUGUGUGGGAUCUGACUAUCUAGUUGUUUAUCCUUAGUAGCCUCUCUUACCGGGAAAUGUCUCCUAGUGUUUCCAAUGGUAGCUUGCUACUGCUCCGGAACACUUAGGCUGGCCGGCAUGUGUCCUUCUUCGUUCCUGUGUCUGUCCCUUCGGGGAAAUGUCACGCGAUGAAUACCGGAGUCCUGUUAGCCCGCUACAGCCNNNNNNNNNNNNNNNNNNNNNNNNNNNNNNNNNNNNNNNNNNNNNNNNNNNNNNNNNNNNNNNNNNNNNNNNNNNNNNNNNNNNNNNNNNNNNNNNNNNNNNNNNNNNNNNNNNNNNNNNNNNNNNNNNNNNNNNNNNNNNNNNNNNNNNNNNNNNNNNNNNNNNNNNNNNNNNNNNNNNNNNNNNNNNNNNNNNNNNNNNNNNNNNNNNNNNNNNNNNNNNNNNNNNNNNNNNNNNNNNNNNNNNNNNNNNNNNNNNNNNNNNNNNNNNNNNNNNNNNNNNNNNNNNNNNNNNNNNNNNNNNNNNNNNNNNNNNNNNNNNNNNNNNNNNNNNNNNNNNNNNNNNNNNNNNNNNNNNNNNNNNNNNNNNNNNNNNNNNNNNNNNNNNNNNNNNNNNNNNNNNNNNNNNNNNNNNNNNNNNNNNNNNNNNNNNNNNNNNNNNNNNNNNNNNNNNNNNNNNNNNNNNNNNNNNNNNNNNNNNNNNNNNNNNNNNNNNNNNNNNNNNNNNNNNNNNNNNNNNNNNNNNNNNNNNNNNNNNNNNNNNNNNNNNNNNNNNNNNNNNNNNNNNNNNNNNNNNNNNNNNNNNNNNNNNNNNNNNNNNNNNNNNNNNNNNNNNNNNNNNNNNNNNNNNNNNNNNNNNNNNNNNNNNNNNNNNNNNNNNNNNNNNNNNNNNNNNNNNNNNNNNNNNNNNNNNNNNNNNNNNNNNNNNNNNNNNNNNNNNNNNNNNNNNNNNNNNNNNNNNNNNNNNNNNNNNNNNNNNNNNNNNNNNNNNNNNGGGGGGAAUUUUGCUCAGGAAAGUGUCGGACGUCCGGUCGAUUCCCGGACGUCCGGUGGCAAAACAGGCACCGGACGUCCGAUGGAACACCGGACGUCCGACGGCUGUAGCACGCCAUCAGACGAAUGUAUCAGGAUAUUUGCGAAACAGGUUUGACAGACGUCCGACAUUUUCUGGACGUUUGGAGACCGGAUGUCUGGAACUUACCGGAUUUCCGUCCGUUUGAUUCUGGAUUGGUGCACCGGAUUUCCGAACGUUACCGGACGUCCGGCCAAAAUAACAGCAGGAACCCCAAAACUAAAACAUGCAUAACUUUCACAUCCUGACUCCGGUUCUGAUGAUCUUGGGCUCGUUUUGAAGCUAUGGAAAAGCUCCAGGUCCUCAGAUAGAGAAGCACCCAAAAUAAACCAAAAUGGAGGGUUCAAAUUAUGCAAAGGUUAGAUCAUAUAUUUUGGGAAACUAUUUGGCUUUGGCUUUUCUUUGGUAUAUAGGAUAUGAGUGGAAUUGUGUAUAGAAGAUGUUGACUUGAGCAAAUCCAUCACAAACCCCUUUGAUCCCCUCUUAAUAGUGCGGGAUCCCUAUAACUCAAGAAUCAUAAAAAUAGCUACACUACAUAGCUAUCAAGAAUCCAUUCUUGAGUGUAUAUGUUUUUUUGGUGGUCAUCACUCCACAACACUAGCGUCAAAGGAACUAAUACCUUUGACACGAGCCGUUCACUUGAGCUUGAUGUUGAUGUUUCUUCUUGGCUCAAGAUGAAGGCAAGAAAUUGGUGAAGUCUUCAAGUCUCUCCCCCAUACACAAUGUGGGGAAGCUUUGCUUUGUAUUCAUCUUCACCUGUCCAUCAUGUGAUCAUCCACAAGCUUCAAGCAUGUAAUCCUUUGGGAUGGUUAUCUUGAACUUGCCCUUGUCAACCAUGAUCACCAACACUUGAUGUCAUCCUCUCAUAGACACUUGAAAUCUCUUUCUCGAUGCGAGCCCAUGAGAAUCACCUAACCCUCAAAAACAUAGACAACACAUAGUAUGGGUCAGUACACAGAGUGCAAUUGAUAAUUUCUUAUCAUACCACAAGAUCCUAUGCGGUGCAUCAUUUGCGCUCGUGUUUUGACCAUUUAGAGUUCGAUCUUUGAGCUUCAUCUUGGUCAACCUAUAUCUCUACUCCAUGUUUAAUCUUGACGUCUUGAGGGUAUAUUGAAUUCUUCACUUGAAUAGCUUGCUUGAAUACUUGAUCAAUCAUGACUCAACACAUGAGUCCAUUAUGAUCAUAUCUUUGAGCCACUCCUAGAGUUCAUCAUUCAAAUCAUCCUUUUAAGAUCUUGAUCCAUUAUGGCUGAAACCAUAGCUCUAAGCAUGGCAACCUUAAGAUACUCCAAUGAACUUCAUUUUGAUCAUCUCAAUGUAAUUGUUGCUUCAAAGGAGUUGUCUUCCAUUAUUCUUCAAUCACAUUCCAAUGGGACUAACCUUCAAAUGUAUAUCUUAAUGCAAACAUUAGUCCAUAGGGAUUGUCAUUAAUUAAGAAAACCACACAUGGGGACAACAUGUACUUUCACUAGAGCGCAUCAUGGCUUCUAUCUCUCAAAACUCAUUGUUGUUGAUACAUCAUGAGUUUGAGUGGAGGGAAGGUGUUAGAGAAUCUCCAGCCAUUCGGUCCCCCGGGGCGCCGAAAAAGAGCGGCCUAGGGGCGAGCCGGCGCUAGAUCGGCCCCUAGGGUUCGUUUCUCCCCAGCCACGCGCCCAGGUACCGCCCCCCAAGGCGCUACAAAUUCAAAAUCCAUCAUUCCCGCUCAAAGAAACAACAAACCGGCGAUCUUCACAAUAGUUCAGUGAUUCGGUGCCAUAGUUCGGCGAUCAAAAUAAAAGGACACGCAGUAGUUUGGUGUACAAAAAAGGAAGGACGCGGAAGGAGUACAUCAAGCAUCGAGCUCAACCUCCGGCGGUGGUGUCGUCGGUGUACGCGGGCUGGGAGGAAUCGGCACGGCUUCCGGGCUGUUCGGCGCGUCUUCUGUGCUGCUGGGCGCGGCGGAGGCAUCGUCGGUGGGGCUGGGCGUCGCGGAGGCUUCGCCAUCUGCCGCUGGGCUGGGCGGCGGCGUCGGCGUCGCUGGUAUCUGGUUCAGGAUGAGGCUGCGCUCGGCCAAGAACCACGCCUUGAGCUUCUCGUCGCCGCUCUGGAGCAUGUCAGCACCGCCCAUCAAGAAGGCGAGGUCGUUGUUCUUCUUCUUGGCGUCUUGAGCUUUGAGUUUCGCGGCGGCGUUGGUGCGGAGCAAGUCCAGUUUAACGGUGCUGUUUGUCAUCAAAACAGCCCACCUCGCCUCAGUUUUCUCUUCUCGCUCGGCGGCCCUGGUCUUGGCGUCGGUGAGACAGUGUUCGAUGGACUCUUGCACGCGCGCGACAGCUGACUCGGCGUAUUCGCCUUCUUGGCACCUUUGUUGUCAUCCAGUCGCCCGUCGGACGCGCCCGCGGUCGGCGCGUCCGGUUUGUAGGUCUCUUUGGCCUUGGCGAUGGUGCGUCGGACGGCCGCCCAUUUCUCGCACUUGUCGAUCCGCUUGAAGACGUGGAUGUACUUGAAGUCUGCGUCGCUGUUGUCGUCGUGGAACAUGACGAACAUGCGUAGCAGCUGCGGCGAAGAAAGAACAUCAGUCAGCGCCAGAGCGCGUGCUAGGGCGCGCACAAGGCGAAAGAGCGCUCGCGUGGCGAGAGUGCGCGCCCGUCGAAAGGCAAGGACGGCGUGCGAUACCUGAUCCUCGACAUUGGUGCCGCUCUCCGGGCGAGCGCCGACCUCCUCGACGAUCCCAUGCCAUUUGUUGCACGCCGUUUGGAUGUGUGACCAAUGGUUCGCCAUCGCCUUCGCCCCCCGCUUCAUGUACAUGCCUUUGAAGUAGGGGUCGACGAGCUUCCGCUCGUCGAACUCGGCCUUGAUGCGGUCCCAAUACGUCUCGAUGCUCUGAUUCGUACCGGUGACCGGGUCGAGGCAGACGACCUUCCACGCUUCGGCGAGGCACUCCUCUUCCUUGGACGCCCAUUUGAUGCGUGGCUCGUCGGACUUGGCCGCCUUCUUCUUCUUCUUCUUCUUGCCUUUCCUUGUGGGCGCCGAGUCCUCCUCCUCUUCUUCCUCCUCCUCCGGCUCUUCCUCGCCGUAGUCGAGCUUGUCGUCCAUGUCGGCGAGGUCAAUCGAGGCGUCCCGCGUUGUGAACUCGGGGGAACCGGCGGCGGCAGCCGAGCCGGCUGUGAUAAUGUCCUCCAUGUCGGCCUCCUUGUGUCGGCAUCGCCGAGAUGCGACGAGGAUGAGGCUUGUGAGUAGAGGCCGCGGCGAAGAGGUGGCGUCGGUGAGGCUACGUAGUCCGGCGGUGAGUACGUGUACGGCGAGUACUGCACGCCAGCAAAUGCGGGCGAGGGCGUGCGCUGGACAAGGCACCCAUGGGGGAAGGUGAUGUUGGGGUUGAAGCCACCAUGGGCGUCCCCAUCGGCAUAGCCCGGCGACGGCGUGCUCCAUGGGUGCGGCGACGAUGAGAACCCGGCCGGAGAGCAGAUGCUUUGCUGGCUCCAGGCUGCGUACGGGUACCCACCGGGUGGAUUCAUCAUCGCCGCGCGCGCCGCCCCCGCCUGUUCGGCCGCAUGCUCCGCCGCCGCCGCAGCGUGUGCCGCUUUUUCCCUGCCUUCUUGGCCCUGUUGCGCCUGUCGGCGGUGACGGCCUCCCGGCGCUCCACAUCCGCCUUCCACUCGGCGUUUCUCAUGCCGGGGGGCUUGGACAGCGGAGCCCUCGGGUUCCUUUGCUUCGGCGGGGCGGCGGUGGCGGUGGGAUCCGUCGCAGCGCGCGGCAUCACGUACUUCUUCGGCGGCAUGGCGGGCGGAAGGGCAUGGAGGAGGCGGGGGUUUGGCGGGAGGAAUGGAGAAGAGAGGGGGGGAGCGGGAGGAAAUAGCGGGAAAAGGGCUUCCAGUCGCCGACAGAGCGGCCCCACGCCGCUUUUCGCUUGUGCUCGACACCCGGCCGCUUGGGUUCGGGGCGGGAUCGCCGGCUCUGGAUUUCGCCCAAACCUGCGCUAAACGAGAUCCUGNNNNNNNNNNNNNNNNNNNNNNNNNNNNNNNNNNNNNNNNNNNNNNNNNNNNNNNNNNNNNNNNNNNNNNNNNNNNNNNNNNNNNNNNNNNNNNNNNNNNNNNNNNNNNNNNNNNNNNNNNNNNNNNNNNNNNNNNNNNNNNNNNNNNNNNNNNNNNNNNNNNNNNNNNNNNNNNNNNNNNNNNNNNNNNNNNNNNNNNNNNNNNNNNNNNNNNNNNNNNNNNNNNNNNNNNNNNNNNNNNNNNNNNNNNNNNNNNNNNNNNNNNNNNNNNNNNNNNNNNNNNNNNNNNNNNNNNNNNNNNNNNNNNNNNNNNNNNNNNNNNNNNNNNNNNNNNNNNNGCUGUUGGGGGCGCGGCUGGAGAUGCUCUUAGAUUGUUGUAUAUAAAGUAAUGUAGCCUUUUUUAUUUACCCCAUUGUAUAAGGGGUUUCCUGCAUAUUUUCUACACAUGUAAAUGUAUACUAUAUACCUAUGGCCCCAUGAAAAUAUAAGUUGUAUAUUUCCUAACAGGUUCAACAAUUGUGAAUCAAUAUCAAUGCCCUGAAAGGCUGGAAUAGCAGGAAGAGAAUCUAUCUAUCUAUUUAAGAUACUGGCUCCUUGCAUUUGGAGACUCUUGAUGCAUCGGGGGUUGUGGAGGAUGCCAUGAGUCCCGCCAGUAAUGGUGUGUACUGUUGGGCCUGUCGGUUUUCAUGGUUUUGAGAAGGUAUUGCCUAGUUUUCUGUUUUUCUUUCUUUUCGUUCUUUCCAACGAUUUUAAUAGUUUUUAUUUUGGUAAUUUUCAACUGAGAGGACGCGCGGCACAUCCGCUUCGCGUCUGCCUCGACGCAUUUCAGGCUCAAAUUUAGGCCGGAAAUGGGUUCGUGCGGACGCGUUUUGGAAAUGAGUCGGCGCGUUGGGUGAGCACUUUUAUCUACAGCGACCCAAACGGACGGCGGCGGACGAAAUAGGAUGGCGCGUUGGAGUUGCUCUUAACAUCCGCGGACAGAUCUGAGUGCACUUAACCUAAAAAAAAAUCUGUGUGCACUGUGCAAUACUGAAUGCUAAAAACCUCAGCAUUUCAUCAAGUUAUUCGAAAUAUAUAGCUAUAUCAUUCCUGAAGCAGUAAAAUCUGCAAGAAUGAAACAACCAGUAUUUGCAGGCUAUCAGGAUUGAAAUAGGCAAUUUACUAGUACAAAUUUCAAACCUCCGAAUUAUCCUGGGUAAUACUUACUCCCUCCGUUCCUAAAUAUAAGUCAUUUUAGAGAUUACACUACAAACUACAUACGAAUGUACAUAGACACAUUUUAGAGUGUAGAUUCACUCAUUUUGAUCCGUAUGUAGUCCAUAGUGUAAUCUCUAGCCACCCAGAGUGAGAUGAGACAAGUACUCCCUCCGUCCGAAAAUACUUGUUAUCAAAAUGGAUAAGAAGGGAUGAAUCUAGAACUAAAAAAUGUCUAGGUACACCUCCUUUUAUCCAUUUUGAUGACAAGUAUUUUCGGACGGAGCGAGUAGAUAUCAUUUGCAUGCUUCCAUCACUAGCCACCCAGAGUUGAUACAGCAACCGGAGAGAACACAGCCAAGCUAAGUAGAUACUACGCAGAGAAAUCACUUGCCUGUGUGCCAGCUUCACCAACAAAUCACUAGGCCAACAAAAUCACUGCUGCAAUAAGUUGUACCCUACUACUAGCAGAGCAUGAGAAAACACUAGCCACCCAAGAUACAUAUAUCAUUUAAAAUCCAUCCAUUAAUAACACAUCCAAACAUAAAAGGAGGGUUGAUUCUAAACUGUUUGCCACGCCACUAAGAAAUGAAAUACUCAUCACAACACAGCCUCGAGCUGGCUGAUAAGUCUACUCAUCAGAAUACUCAUCAGGAUCACAGAAACGAACCGGGGUCUCCAACACAUCGGUGACCAGCUGGACCAGCAACGGGACACGCUCCUCAAGCCAGGCAAUGUUACCAUUACCUUCGAGUACAUCAUCAGCAGUAUCCUUUAGCAUUAUGCUCAGCUUUUUGACUCGGGCUAAGACCAGAUCGUCCUCGGCAAGCAAUACGCCCAAGGCUAACAUAAAGCGCUUCCUCAGAUCUAAGAGCGCAACAGCUGAGUUCUUGAUGAGUAGGAGGGCUUCCAGGGCGCCCCGUUCCAGCUUGGCCUCCUGAACCAUGAACUGGGGUAACACAUCAUGCUCGAGCUUUUGGAUUUCCAGCGACAAGCAUGCCACGACCGAGAGGUUUUCCAGCUCCGGGCAUACCCACAUCCACAACUCCAUGAGCAGCGGGCGGAGGAGUGCAUACGACUCGCACGCUAUGCGCACCGACUCCAGAGAGACAAGACCCACAAGCAUGGACUUAUUGGAGUGGCCCAGCUCAUCGGAGCGGGCCUGCAGGUCUUGGAUUUGGGCAUGGGAGUGGAUUUCUUAGAGUAUCUUUUCCUUUUGGUGAACUGCAGCAGAAGAGUUGCUGCUACCAGCUGGUACAGCAGCACAACAAACAGAGGAGGAGGAUUUAAUGUCAGCAAGAGACCAUGCAGCACCAAUCCAAGCUUCUACUUAAUUAGUUAGGACAACAUAUAUAUAUUUGCAUUGUGCGACAGAAUUAAUAGUUAUUAAUAUGAAGUGAAAGCAGCAAUUCAACCAUGUAUGUAUACUGAUAUAUAGGCAACUAAACAAAAUGAAUGAAUCCCAAAACAGAAAAAUAAUUAACAGAAUUUGGUUCAAAGUAGCAUAGAGAUGCCAUCAUUCAUUGUAUUAUUGUGUGAGCAAGAAAAUUGCAUCUCCAUCAAAGGAAACAAUAAACUAAACAGCUGGGAAAUAAAAAAUUCAAGUCAUUGUUACCUAUCCAAACAGAGCUAGAACAAAUCUACGCUCAAACACAGUUGAUAAAAAAAAAUUAACAUUCUGGCAGGCAUAAACUGAAAUCGAACAACAUAGCAUGAAUUCCAAAUUAAUACCUAUCCAGCUAUCCAUCCUGUACAGGCACAGUUGAAGAAUUCAUACAACAUUUGAGAAACCAAAAUCUGACAACAAACCAAGCAAACCCUAACUAAAACAAACAAACAAACAAAUCCAGGUUGAUUCCUUAUUACGGAUAAUCGAACCCUGCCAAACAAACAAACCCUUAUUUGAGUUCACGGUUAUAAGGUUACAACCAAUUUUAACUUGAACUGGACACAAAUAUUACUUUGAAUUUCCUAAAGUCAGAUAAUAAUCCAAAAAUAUGAAUAAAGUUCAUUUUAAGUUUCUGAACUUAGUUGCAAAAGGAAUUAUUCCAUUAGGUCUUUUAUUUAAAGUCAACACAUAUAGUUCCAAAUUUCUUUUAAAUUCUGGCAUCUCUACUGAAUUCUAUCUAAAUUCAAUUUUUUUUAAUUAUUCAAAUUUGAUUUUCAGUGAGACUAUUUAAAACUAUAUUUUACUAAGUUUAUUCUGUAAAAGGAUUCAAUAUAAUUGGAUUUAGAAAUUGCAAGUUAUGCCAAAUUUAAAUUUAAAUUCAUUCUGUUUGAAUUUGAAUUUUAUACUAUUCAAAGGCUAAAUAUUUUUGGACUAGCCAAAAGUGUAUUUCAUAAGUAUCGUUCUGCAAAAAUUUCACUAAAUUAGCAUUUAUAGAUAAAAGUUACGAUGGUUUGAAGUUCUAGGGGUUUUCUAUAAAACUUCCAAAUAAUUCAAUUAAAUGGAAAUUGUUCUGAAUAAUGUUUUGGAUAAGGUGGACACGUGUCAAGACGUGAUUGGACAGUACCGAUUCGGUAAGUGAGUGCGUGUGUGAGUUGUUGGAUUGAAACAAACAGACUGGAUUAGAUCUGGGCCUCACCGGGGUUAGGUCAACGGAGAUGUCGCCGGAAAAAUCCAAGCACGGCACCGGACGAUGGUGCUACGCUCUAGGUUCGACAGAUUUGAUGCUCCAGGGAGUCUUGGGGACGGGUGGAGGCUCGGGUGGAUGCGGCUCGAUGUGGUGGUGCUGAUGGUGGCUGAAAGAACAUAGUGGUGCCCCCAUCUUUGAUUUUGGUAAUUGACGACAAUCUCUUUGGACUACUGGUUACCUUGAGUUAUAUUUGUAGGAUUUGUCCAUAGGAUUUUCUUGAAGUCCAUUUGUUGGUUUCAAGGAGUUUAUGUGGUGACCAAGGUGUUAUUCAAGGAAUUAUCCAAAGAUUGGUCAUAGAGAAGACAUGACACAAGGUUGAUCAAGACUAAGUCAAAGAGUGAUUCAAGUUGAUCAACACACAAAGCGUAGUAGAUAUACCAAGCGGGAUCAAGUGAGGGCGUGAGGAGAUUACGAUAGCCCUGUUGGAAAUAUGCACUAGAGCCAAUAAUAAAGUGGUUAUUAUUCUAUUUCCUUGUUCAUGAUAAUCAUUUAUUGUCCAUGCUAUAAUUGUAUUGAUUGGAAACUCAAAUGCAUGUGUGGAUACAUAGACAACAACAUGUCCAUAGUAAGCCUCUACCGGACUAGCUCGUUGAUCAAAGAUGGCUAUGGUUUCCUAGUCAUAGACAUGAGUUGUCAUUUGAUAACAGGAUCACAUCAUUAGGAGAAUGAUGUGACGGACAAGACCCAAACUAUGAGCGUAGCAUAUGAUCGUGUUAAGUUUAUUGUUAUCGUCUUCUGCAUGUCAAGUAUAUGUCCCUAUGACCAUGAGAUCAUGCAACUCACUAACACCGGAGGAGUACCUUGUGUGUACCAAACGUCGCAACGUAACUGAGUGAUAUAAAGGCGCUCUGCAGGUAUCUCUGAGGGUGUCUGCUGAGUUGACAAGGAUCAAGACUAGGAUUUGUCACUCCAUAUGACGGAGAGGUAUCUCAAGGCCCACUCGAUAAUACAGUAUCAUAAUGAGCUUGCAAGCAAUGUGACUAAUGAGUUAGCCACAGGAUCUUGUAUUACAGAACGAGUAAAGAGACUUGCCGGUAACGAGAUUGAACUAGGUAUGGAGAUACCGAUGACCGAAUCUCGGGCAAGUAACAUACCGAUAGAUAAAGAGAACUACAUGCGAGAAUAGAUGAAUCCUUGACAUCGAGGUUCGAUCGAUAAGAUCUUCGUAGAAAUGUGAAAACCAAUAUGGGCAUCCAGGUCCCGCUAUUGAUUAUUGAUAGUGGAGGUGUCUCAGUCAUGUCUACAUAGUUCUCGAACCUGCAGUGUCUACACACAUAACGUUUGGUGAUGAUAUAAGUAUAGUUGAGUUGUUAUGGUGGUUACCAAAGGUUGUUCGGAGUCCCGGAUGAGAUCCCGGACAUGACGAGGAACUCUGGAAGAUUCCGGAGGUGAAGAUUGAUAUAUUGGACGAAGGGUAUUGGAGUCCAAAAGUGUUUCGGGGGUACCGGGUGAUGACCAGCAUGACCNNNNNNNNNNNNNNNNNNNNNNNNNNNNNNNNNNNNNNNNNNNNNNNNNNNNNNNNNNNNNNNNNNNNNNNNNNNNNNNNNNNNNNNNNNNNNNNNNNNNNNNNNNNNNNNNNNNNNNNNNNNNNNNNNNNNNNNNNNNNNNNNNNNNNNNNNNNNNNNNNNNNNNNNNNNNNNNNNNNNNNNNNNNNNNNNNNNNNNNNNNNNNNNNNNNNNNNNNNNNNNNNNNNNNNNNNNNNNNNNNNNNNNNNNNNNNNNNNNNNNNNNNNNNNNNNNNNNNNNNNNNNNNNNNNNNNNNNNNNNNNNNNNNNNNNNNNNNNNNNNNNNNNNGUAACCAGGAGAGGUGGGGCGCCCCCUCUAGGGUUCCCUCCACCUGGCUUGGGGGGCAAGCCACCCUAGGGUUUCCCUAGGGGGCACCCCCAUCUGCCUUGGCCGCCGCCCUCUAGAUGGGAUCUAGGGGCGCUCCCUCCUCCUCCCUUCCCCUUAUAGAGAGGUGGAGAGAGGGUAGCCGCACCCAUACAGAUCUAUUUGUCCCACGGCGCUGCCCCUUCUCUCCCUCAUAGCCAUCUUCUUCUCCGUAGUGCUUAGCGAAGCUCUGCCGAGAUUUCUCCACCACCACCACCGCUACGCCAUCGUGCUGCUAGAGGACUCAAGCUACUACUUCACCAUCGGUCGCUGGAUCGAGGAGGUGAAGGCGUCAUCAAGCCGUACGUGUAUUAAACGCGGAGGUGCAGUCCGUUCGGCGCUAGAUCGGGAGUUCACGGGGCGGAUCAUGAUUGGAUCGUGAAGACGUUCGACUACAUCAACCAUAUUUCUUAACGCUUCCACUUAGCGAUCUACAAGGGUAUGUGGAUGAAAUCUCUCCUCCCGUAGAUGUUCAUCUCCUAGAUUGAUCUUGGUGAGCGUAGGAAAUUUUUUGUUUCUCAUGCAACGUUCCCCAACAGUGGCAUUAUGAGCUAGGUCUAUGCAUGGACGACAUCACAAGUAGAACACAAAGGAGUUUCUGGGUGUUGAUAUUCAGAUUGCUUCCUUCCUUGGUCUUUUCUUGAUUCGGUGGUAUUGUGGGAUGAAGCGGCCCAUACCAACUUUACAUGUCCACGUACAUGAGGCCGGUUCCAUCGACAGACAUGUGACUUUGUUGCAUAAAGAUGGCUGGUGGGUGUCUGUCUCUCCCACCUUAGUUGAAUCGGAUUCGACAAAGCCGGUCCUUGUAGUAGGUUAAAUAGCAACUUGCAUAUCACCUUUGUGGCUUUGCGUAGGUAAGAAUCGUUCUUGCUAGUACACAUAGCAGCCACGUAAAACAUGCAACAACAAUUAGAGGACAUCUAACUUGUUUUUGCAGGGUAUGUUGUGAUAUGAUAUGGCCAAAGACAUGAUGAAAUAUAUUUGAUGUAUGAUAUGAGCAUGUUUGUAAUAGUUUAUAUCGACUUGCAGGUCGAUGCAUACGGCAACCGGCAGGAGCCAUAGGGUUGUCUUUAAUUAUUGUAUGACCUGCAUGUCAAUCAUUAAGCGGCUAUGUAAUGCUUUACUUUAUCGCUAAGCGGUAGCAACAGUAGUAGAAGCAUGGUUGGCGUGACAACCCCGAUGGCGACACGAUGAUGGAGAUCAUGGUGUCAUGCCGGUGACGAUGGAGAUCAUGCCUGUGCUCUGGAGAUGGAGAUCAAAAGCACGAGUUGAUGGCCAUAUCAUGUCACUUAUGAUUUGCAUGUGAUGUGAAUCCUUUUAUGGAUCUUAUUUUGCUUAGGACAACUGUAGCAUUAUAAGGUGAUCCCUCACUAAAAUUUCAAGAUAAAAUUUGUCUUCUCCCCAAGUGUGCGCCGUUGCGGAAGUUCGUCGUUUCGAAGCACCACAUGAUGAUCGGGUGUGAUAGACUCUACAUUUGCAUACAACGGGUGCAAGCCAUUUUUGCACAUGUGGAACACUUGGGUUAAACUUGACGAGCCUAGCAUGUAGAGACAUGGCCUCGGAGCACAAGAGACCGAAAGGUCGAACACAAGUCAUAUAGUUGAUAUGAUCAACAUGGAGAUGUUCACCAUUGAAACCACCUCAUCUCAGGUGACGAUCGGACUUGGGUUCGUGAAUUUGAAUCGUGUUACACUUGGACAACCGGAGAGAUGUUGAUUUUGGUGGGAGUUCUUAGGUAAUAUGAUUAAUUGAACUCAUUUAUCAUGAACAAUAGUCUAUGUUAUCUUUGCAAACUUAUGUUGUAGAUCAAUGGCUCUCGCAGUAGCUCCCCUGAAUUUCAAUGCGUUCCUAGGGAAAGCUAAGCUGAAAACUGAUGGAAGUAACUUUGUGGACUGGGCCCGUAAUAUGAGGAUUAUCCUCACGGCCGCGCAAAAGUCUUAUGUCCUUGAUGCACCGCUUGGUGCGCCACCCCCUCCAACGACUGUGGAUGUUGUGAAUGCCUCGCAGUCGCGUGUUGAUGACUACUCAAUAGUUCAGUAUGCCAUGUUGUAUGGCUUAGAACCGGGACUUCAAAGGCGUUUUGAACGUCAUGGAGCAUAUGAGAUGUUCCAGGAGUUGAAGUUUAUCUUUGAGAAGAAUGCCCGGAUCGAGAAGUAUGAGACCUCUGAUAAGUUCUAUGCCUGCAAUAUGGAGGAGAACGAGUUUGUCAGUGAGCACAUACUCAAAAUUUCUGGGUACUACAAUCGUCUGGAUGAGUUGGGAGUUGAGCUCCCACCAGAGGCUGUCACUGACAGAGCUCUUCAAUUGCUACCACCUAGCUACAAGAGCUUUAUGUUGAACUAUAACAUGCUAGGGAUGAACAAGUCAGUCUUCGAGUUGUUUGCGUGCUGAAAGUCGCUGUGAAAGGAACGAUACGGUCGACUAGAGGGGGGUGAAUAGGAGACUACAAAUUUUAAUCUUUCUUGUCAAUUUUAAGGCUUAGCGGAUAAAUAGGGUUCACUAGAUAUACAACUAGGUGAAUGCAACCUAUAUGACAAGCAAGCUCCAAGUAACAAGCUAGGCAACAAACUAAGUAGCAGGCCAACAAGUAGAUAAAGCAAAGUAAGGUGCGGGAAAGGAUUAACCACAAGUGAGACGAGGACACGGAUUUUAACCCGAAGUUCACUCUUCCUUGGGGGAGAGAUACUCUCUGUUUGGAGCGGUGCCGGAGCCAAAGCUUGCGGAACGCCACCGAAGGCUCACCGUAAUCUCCUUCGAGUCACCACCAACAGAUGAGCCUCGAAUCACUCGGGGUUGGUCUUGAAGGCGAUCACCACACCUUUACAAACUUCUCCAGAGCACACCACAAGCAAGGAAGCUUCCGGAGGAACCUCUAACCUCCUAGGAGCCCAAGCUCCAAGAGUAACAAGUCAAUGGGGAAGAAAUGUUGCGGGGAACGUGAUUUGGUUUGGUCAAGAUGUAGAUCGGGUCUUGCUCUCCCAAUCCCCAAAGUUUCAACAAGUUUGGGUGGAGGGGUUGAGAGUAUUGAGAAAAAUGAGGUGUAGCAAUGGUAGACCUCAACAAGACAUUAGGUUUAGGUGUUGGAGGUGGAAGAAGAGGCUUUAUAUCGUGUUCUUGGCCGGGUGGGCAAAUCUGCCCGUUGGACCCCGUGUGCACGGGCUAAGUCAGCCCCGUGCGCACGGGGUACUUAGAGAGUUUCACACCACCCCAUGCGCACGGGGGUCAAAAGACCCCGUGCACACGGGGUACUCAGAGAGUUUACAUAGUACUCCGUGCGCACAGAGUACUCAGAGAGUUAUGCAAUACCCCAUGCGCACGAUGGUCCAAAGACCUCGUGCGCACGGGGUACCCAGUAACUUUCUGUCACAAACUUUCUGAGUACCACAAGUACACACACUAGGACUUUAGGUGGUAGUAGUGGGUAGGCUAAGUGUAUAAGGUUUGGCAAUGGCAUUCCCACACAACUUUCAUCCACACAAACCCCUCUUAAUAGUGCGGUCUUUCCUACGACUCGAAGCAAACCAAACACUAAACCUUCGAUUCGCCAGAAAGCCACGCCUUUGACCAUUUUGAAAUGGGGGGGGGGGGUCGCACAUCUCCAUCACAGAGCACUUGUAACCAAUAUCCUGAGGUAAACUUCAGUAACCGAUAUUAGUUCGACUAACCACAUUGUCAUCACACCAAAAUAGUAUAACUGCCACUUGCACUUUCAAGCUCCCCCUUUUUGGUGCAUUGAUGGCGACGUGGUUAGAGCAUGGCAUAGAGAGAGAAAAAUUAAUAGCCAUGGGACAAAUAAUGAUCAUGGAGGCUCCCCCUAUAUGUGUGCCCGGAUAAAGAAACGCUUCAGAAUGCAUCAAGUACACACAUAGGAGCUGCCCCUAAGAUCAUUAUUGUCCAGACAUGAGAUCAACAUAAUAAACCUAUAAUGAUGCCUAGAUCUUAGGAAAUGGUGUGGUGAGCAAAUAUUGUGAGACACAUAAUAAGCAAGAUAUGAUCAUAGCAGAAGUUCAAUAGUAAAGCUAGAGUCUCACAAGCAUAACUGAGUAGCUCUCACAACCACACCAGCGGAAAGUAAAAAAAAGUAUCUCAAGCCAGCUAAAACCAACCAACAAUAAGAAACACAAGGCUUGAGAUCUCAGAAUACACCCACGAACACAAACCACCCACCACCACUUCUCCCCCUUUGUCAUCAAGACAACAAAAAGGAAGACAAAUGGCAACAAACAGACCCACUAGACAAGAGGAGGAGCACUUGAGGCAUCAUCAUCAUCAUCAAAGCGCCAUCCUGCCAUUGGAAAAGAUUGGUCUGUAGCCUCACUGUCUUGGUCCUCUGACCCUAGGCUGACCACCACACCAGCUGCAGCCCUUGCUGCCUUUUGCUCAUGCCUUACUAGCUUCUCCCGGUUGAUCUCCUUAAUCUGACGAUGUUUGAUAGACUGGCACAUCUUGAACAUGUUGCUCAAGGUCUUGAACAAGGACUUCUUCUCUCCAUUGGCAAAAACGGCCUCAGAACCAACGGACUUGGCCUUACCACGAGGGAUCCGAGCAGUGGAGAACAUGCCGGAGUGAAAGUAGCAUGAUCCUCAGGCCUAGGGUUGUGCCCCUUCUUGAUAGGCACAUACGGAGCAGGAGCAGCUGGGGUCCAGUUGGCGUUGCGUUUGGGAAUAGAAGUCUUGAACGAGGCAAUGUACUUGGCUGGGAAGACGGUCUCGAUCAAAGCCUGAAUGAACGGAGCAUAAAUGAAUGACUUGUUCUCUUGAACACACUGACGAAGCUCAUAGAACAUGCAAUCCAGAACAUCCACCCUCUUCUUCUGAUGUAGGUACACAAAAAUAUCCAACAUGGAGCUUCGAAUGUUGUGGGAAUCACCGGCCUUAGGAGUGAGUGUAUAUCUCAAGAUAUGGCGCAUGGUGUCAUAGAGAGGCAAAAGAUCUUUGAUUGACCCAGUGACAAAUGACUUCUCUUGCUUGUAUGCCAAAGAAAUCUCAUCCUUAGUGCGCUGCCCACUUUCCCGAACUCUCUCAAACUCAUCAGAUGCAGCCUCUUCAUCAAAGAAUUGAUAAGGAAUGAUCUUAGAGAACUUAGACAUAGGAGCGGAGCACCGAUGCGUCCCAGACAUCCAAGUGAGGGUGCGCACAGAGUCAUUUGAGAAAAAUAAAGUUGCAAAGAACUGCAUCACCAGAUCUUCAUUGUAGGGAUGGUUGAAUGUGACAAACGAAAUGAGACCCAAUCUUCCAAGAGCUGACUACACACCGGGAUACAGAUGAUCAUUGUUGCGCAUACUCUCAGUCUUAACUUGCUUGUGAGGAGCAAACUUCUUUGACUUGGUCAUGAGAAGCUCAUGAUAGACUCUCUGCUGAAACUCGUUCUUGAAGCAGGGAUCCACACCCAAACAAGUGGCAGCCGCAUAAGGAUGGCUCUGUCUCUCAGCCCAAAGCUCUGGCUUUGUCCACUUGGCAAGAGGCAUAUUCCGGAGGUCACGCCCGCCCGGAAUGGCUUGCUCAGGACUAGAAUCCUCUUCCUCCUCUUCAUCCUCAUCAAGACGAUCAUCCUCUUCUUCUAUCUCAUCAGCAUCAUUGGGGUUGACAUAGUGAGCAUCAUCUUGCGAGUCAUACUCUUCGUUAGACUCAUCGGAGGCCUCAACAACAGGCCGCUUGGAUGCAGCACGACCAACACGGCCCUGCCCAGACCCAGGUCCCUGCCCCCUGCCUUCUGACGGCUAACGAUGAGCAACUAUGAAUUCGUUGGAUCCUCCUUUUGGGCGCUUGCGACGAAUCUCGGCCCUCUUGUCAGCAGAGCCUGAAACACACACGAGAACCCAACAACACAAAGCAUGAAACACAAAUGAGUACAAGUGCAUGAUAGAUGGCAUAGGAAUAGGUAGAAAUGCAGGUGAAAAGCCCCCGGAUACCCCGUGCGCACAGGGGUUUAGACCUUGUGGGCAUGGGAGUCCCGUGCACACGGUACAAGACCAUAGACACGGGUCCCCGUGCGCACGGGGGGAAAACACUCCAUGGACAUGGGGGUCUCCCAGCGGCAGCCACUUCCAGAUCGGGUUUUGGGAGUGAGUGCGGCAGGGAACCAAGAGAAACUAUGCACCUGAGUACUACCGAGAGAGGAGGAGGGCCAAACUAGUCUAAGGAACAAAGAAACCCAUGGAGGGAGAACAAGGGAACAGGACCAACCGGAGGAGGACCCCAUCACGAAGAAGAUCCAUGGAGAAAGGAGCCCCACGAAGCCUCGAGGAGCUCCAGCGAGUGAAGGCGACAACGGCGGCGCUAGAGGCUUCCUAGGGAGUGGAGGGGGCGAAUGGGUGGGAAUGAACCCGAGCCCCCCCCACGCCCCGCCUCUUUAGGGCCAGAAACCGCAGACCCCAUGCACUCGGGCUAAGUGAACCCCGUGCGCACGAGGGUCCCGUGCGCACGGUACAGAGCCCGUGGGCACGGGGGCCCCAUGCACACGGUACAUGCCCGUGGGCACGGGGUAUUCAAGAAUUUUGACAUGAGGACCUUUUUGAAGGUUCCGGCUGAGUGUAAACUCUUACCCUGUUUUUGCAAAGCACUCGAUCUAUAUUUCUAAAUACGCACAAGAGAAGUCCUAUCACUUAUGAGAAGGGUAUAUGAGGAGCACUUGUACCAGAAGAGAAACGAGAAACACAAACCAACCAAAUAAAACUAGAGAGAAAGGACAAGAAAAACAACACACCACACACACGAACCAAACACGGACACAACCCUCAAGAGAAGGAAGUGACUGAAGCCACCAUGUUUGAGUAUAUUUGGUAUGGCACCACGAAGAUAUGAACCUUGGGCCCAAGACCAAUACUCAUCUUUGAAGCACAAGUACCACCUAAAGUGGCUAAUGUGAAAGAUUUUGUUUGAUUUAUGCACUUCUAGGAUAAGAUAGCUCGUGAGUUGAGCUAGCUCCACCUAGACAUGUGCCUACAUCUAAGCAAGAUAAUACAAGAGUAUGUGUGUAUGAGCAAGAAUUUCAUCCCAAGUUACUUAUAUCCACGAUGUUUAGCUCAUGCCUUAACUCGCGGAAUCUUGCUUCUUCAAGCGGCUUGGUGAAGAUGUCAGCUAGUUGAUUCUCGGUGUUGACAUGGAGUAACUCAAUGUUUCCCUUGGCCACAUGAUCUCUAAUGAAAUGAUGGCGAAUCUCAAUAUGCUUUGUCUUGCUAUGUUGAACCGGAUUCUCGAUGAUUGAGGGAGUUCCAGACUAGGGGGUGUCCGGAUAGCCGAACUACCAUCAUCGGCCGGACUCCCAGACUAUGAAGAUACAAGAUUGAAGACUUCGUCCCGUGUCCGGAUGGGACUUUCCUUGGCGUGGAAGGCAAGCUUGGCGAUACGGAUAUGUAGAUCUCCUACCAUUGUAACCGACUCUGUGUAACCCUAGCCCUCUCCGGUGUCUAUAUAAACUGGAUGGCUUUAGUCCGUAGGACGAACAACAAUCGUACCAUAGGCUAGCUUCUAGGGUUUAGCCUCCUUGAUCUCAUGGUAGAUCUACUCUUGUAACCCACAUCAUCAAUAUUAAUCAAGCAGGACGUAGGGUUUUACCUCCAUCAAGAGGGCCCGAACCUGGGUAAAAACAUCGUGUCCCUCGUCUCCUGUUACCAUCCGCGUAGACGCAUAGUUCGGGACCCCCUACCCGAGAUCUACUGGUUUUGACACCGACAUUGGUGCUUUCAUUGCGAGUUCCUCUGUGCCGUCGCGAUCAGGAAGGAUGCCUCUUCCUGUCUUUAAAGACGGCGCCGUCGUCAAGGGAGCUUUGGCCACCGGCCAAACUAUCCGGCUAGGUGGUUUUCUUAUGACCGCCUGUUCGGCCACCGCUCCGACGAUGACCUCGCAGGUCAUCAAAAGCGAUCUUCGUGUCAGCUCGGAAUUCGCCGAGCAGUUAGAUACGAUUGAGCUCUCCUCUGUGAACGAGCUCUUGGAUCGCAUCGCCGCCCUGGGAGUCGCUACAGACUAUAAUCAGAUUGGGCUUAAAACCGAUCUGAGAGAAAUCAACUCUCCCCAGGCUACCCCCACGUUGUUGUGGUAGAGGAACAAUGCGACAACUCUUCUUCCAUGCUAAAAACUAACUAUGUCCGGAUUCCCGACCUCUUCACGCCGGAUUCCUGCGGAGGGACGGACGCUAGUCAAAUACUGAACUUACAGUCAGGCAUCAAACUAGAUUCGUUGGAAAGCAUCCAGCAAAUCAAGCUUCCAAAUUCGGAAACUUCAUGGCCUUUGAGCCUUAGAUCGAGCGGGGUUCCGAACUUGAUUCCACCCACCCACCCAAACAUAAGCGAUCUAUCUCGAAUACGGCAAGAGCCCGAUGAAACAGUACAUCAUUACUGGGCCAGAUUCCUCCUGGUUAUGAACAGGAUAAAGGACUGCUGCGAAGAAAGCGCGAUUUCAAUUUUCUGCAACAAUUGUGCGGACAAGGGAAUCAUGAACGCCAUAAGUCGUCGCGACGUUAUACGCUUCAUCAAUCUAGCGACCAUCGUACAAAAAUACUGUGCGGUGGAGAGUGCCAGGAACACCGAAACUAGGUUUUGCGACAGUCCGGCCUUGACUACAACCCUAGUCCGAAAUAAAAGGGUGCGCCAUACCCAAACACCUGGGUUAAAAACCAAAAAGCAAAAACCCCCUAAAGGGCAUGGAACCGUACUGGAGGGCUGGCUCAACGGACCCUGCAAAAUCCACAGUACGGAGGGCGCCACUCCAACACACAGCCUUCGGGCAUGUUGGAUAUUACGGCAGGUGGCCAAAAGUGGUGAAGGCUUUUUAGCCCCGGGCAAACAGCCCAGUAGUACCGGUACGGUAUUAACAGUCUUCGAGACUUUUGCAUCAAAUAACAUGCGAAAACGAACAAUCCACAGCCUCGCCGAAGUCUACCAAGUAGCAACAGCAAAUCCAUGGAGUGACACGGAUAUCACCUUCAAUGCCAAUGACGAACCUAAAUUCCGGACGGCUAGAGCGCCAGCCGCAUUGGUGCUCAGUCCGAUAGUGGACGGCUUUCGCCUCACCAAGGUACUCAUGGAUGGCGGCAGCGGAUUAAACCUCAUCUACGAGGAAACCCUUCAAAAAAUGGAUAUUGACUGGAGCCGCAUUGAGCGAAGCAGCACAACCUUCAGAGGGAUAAUCCCUAGUCGAGAAGUACGCUGCACAGGAAAAAUCACACUCGACGUAGUGUUCGACUCGCCAGACAAUUACAGGUCCGAAGAGGUCACGUUUCAAGUGGCCCCAUUCGGCAGCGGAUAUCAUGCCUUGUUAGGGCGAGAGGCAUUCACAAUCUUCCAAGCUAUACCCCGUUACGGGUACAUGAAGCUUAAAAUGCCCGGCCCUAAUGGAAUCAUCACUCUAGCCAGCGAUCCAGAUAUUGCACUCCGCGCCGAGAAUAAGACAGCCGCAUUACCCCUAGAGGCACUAUCCGACGCCCUAGCGGCAGAGGAACUAACUGCGCUGCGCUCCACGGUGGAUAGGGACGACGUGAUACUCGACAAGAGGUCCAAGUCCACCUCUUUUAAACCAGUAGACGAAAUAAUCAAAUUCCAGGUCCAUCCAACAGACCCCACAAAGAUGGCCUCCAUUGGGGCACAAUUAAAUCCCGAUGUCGAAGCCGCACUACGAGAAUUCCUUCGGGAAAACUGGGACAUUUUCGCCUGGCACCCCUCAGACAUGCCAGGAAUCCCACAUAGACUGGCAGAGCACAGCCUAAAUAUCCUAAAAGGAUUCAAGCCCGUUAAACAGGCUCUUCAGCGAUUUUCCGAACCAAAAAGACAGGCAAUGGGAGAGGAGCUAGCCAAACUCUUAGAAGCCGGAUUCAUCAGAGACAUCAAACAUCCGGACUGGCUAGCAAAUCUGGUUAUGGUACCCAAAAAGGACAAAUCCUGGCGCCUUUGUGUCGACUUCAAAGACCUUAACAAGGCUUGCCCAAAGGACCCCUUCCCUCUUCCCCGCAUCGACCAAAUCAUUGACGCUACCGCAGGGCACGAUUCAUUGUGCUUCCUCGACGCAUACUCCGGAUAUCAUCAAAUCAAGAUGGCGGAAAAAGACCAGGCUGCAACAGCAUUUAUUACUCCAUAUGGACCAUUCUGCUUUAACACAAUGCCUUUCGGACUCAAAAACGCCGGCGCAACAUAUCAGCGCAUGAUUCAGACAUGUCUGGCCACCCAGAUAGGCAAAACAGUCGAGGAAUAUGUAGAUGAUGUGGUCGUCAAGACCAAACACGUCGAAACUCUGGUAGACGACUUGAGGGUGACAUUUGACAACCUCCAUGCAUAUGACAUUAAGCUCAACCCGGAAAAAUGUGUUUUCGGCGUACCAGCCAGAAAGCUCUUGGGCUUCAUUGUAUCCGGUAGAGGAAUUGAAGCAAACCCAGCCAAGAUCCGAGCUCUGUCACAACUGGAUGUCCCAAAAGACCUCAAGCAAAUACAAAAAUUACCCAGAUGCGUGGCGGCUCUAAGCCGCUUCAUCUCCCGUUUAGGAGAAAAGGCACUGCCCCUCUAUCGCCUCCUCCGACGCACCAAACAUUUCGAAUGGACGGAUGCUGCCACGGCCGGACUCGAAGAAAUUAAAGCCGUAUUGGCAACUAAUCCGGUCCUGGCCGCGCCCAACCUAUGCGAACCAAUGCUAUUAUAUAUCGCAGCAACACAUCAAGUUGUCAGCGCGGUACUCGUCGUCGAACGAGAAACAGAAGGGAACAAAUUCCCUCUUCAAAAACCAGUGUACUACGUAUCCACUGUCUUGACUCCAUGCAAGUCCCGGUACCCACAUUAUCAAAAGAUAGCGUAUGCGGUGUUCAUGGCAUCCCGGAAGCUGCGACACUACUUUCAAGAGUGUUCCAUAACAGUGGCCUCCGAAGUACCUCUCAACGAUAUUAUAAACAACCGCGACGCAACAGGCAGGAUUGCAAAAUGGGCCAGUGAGCUCUUACCAUUUGACAUAACCUACAAACCACGGCGGGCUAUAAAAUCGCAAGUCUUGGCUGACUUCAUCGCCGAAUUGACCGAAGCCGAACUCCCUAAAGAGUACGGCGCAUAAUCCAACUGGAUCAUGCAUUUCGACGGCUCCAAAAUGUUGGCGGGCUUGGGGGCUGGCGUCGUCUUGACGUCCCCAACCGGAGACAUAGUCCAAUACGCACUCCAAAUAAUGUACAUGGACUCCAACAACGCAGCCGAAUACGAGGCCUUGCUACAUGGCCUCCGGAUGGCAAUCUCCAUGGGUAUCCAACGCCUAGAGGUGCGCGGGGAUUCAAACCUCGCAAUAUCCCAAAUAAAUGGAGACUUUGAUGCCAAGGAUCCGAAAAUGGCAGCCUACUGUAACGCUGUGCUAAAAAUGUCAGCUCGGUUCGAGGGACUCGAAUUCCACCAUGUGGCCUGGGAUAACAACCAGGCAGCAGAUGUGUUGGCACGCAUCAGCGCAAAAGGCGACGCCGUCCCUCCGAACAUCUUCCUGGAAUGGCUUUUCAAGCCAUCCGUAUCAUGGGAAGAGGAGUCCGGACAUAACAAUCCGGAACCAGCUGCAUCACCUAACUCAGACGAUUCUAACAUAGUCGGUGGCUCAGCCAAUGAAAUAACACCUUCGGCCCACGAAAUAAUGGCAGUAAUUGCCCCGUGGACGGAACCAUUCCUGGCCUACUUACUCAGGCAGGAACUUCCCGAAGACCAAAAUGAGGCCCGCUGCAUAGUUCGGCGAUCUAAAGCCUACAAGGUCCAUGAGGGAGAACUAUAAGAAAAGCACAACCGGAGUCCUUCAAAGGUGUAUCUCCGAGGAGGAAGGGCAAAAUCUUCUGGCUGAAAUUCACGCCGGACUCGGCGGGCACCACGCUGCAGCCCGAGCCCUUGUGGGCAAGGCCUUCCGUACAGGAUUUUACUGGCCGACCGCCCGGGCAGAUGCUCAGGACUUAGUUCAAUGAUGCGUCGGUUGCCAGCUCUUUGCUAAUCAGAGCCACAUGCCACCCACCACCCUCAAAACUAUACCCAUCACCUCGCCGUUCGCGGUCUGGGGGCUUGACAUGGUCGGACCCCUUAAAGGGGGAACCCACAAGCACAAAUACUUAUUGGUCAUGGUGGACAAAUUCACCAAAUGGAUAGAGGCCAAGCCGGUUAAAACGGCAGAAUCCGGACCGGUGAUAGACUUUAUAUCCGGGGUAGUACACCGUUUCGGCGUCCCCCACAGCAUCAUAACUGAUAACAGCACGAAUUUCACAACCGACGAGGUUAAACUAUGGUGCAAAAACAUGGGCAUCAAGCUCGACUACGCUUCAGUCUACCACCCUCAAACCAAUGGUAAUGGUCUAAUCAUGAGCGACAUUAAACCCAGAUUACUGCGGUCCCUAACGGAAUCUAACACGCACUGGGUAGAGGAGCUCGACUCCGUACUCUGGGGGCUGCGGACCACGCCAAACCGCACAACCGGAUUCACACCAUUUUUUAUGGUAUACGGCGCUGAGGCAGUUUUGCCCUGCGACAUAAUUCAUGACUCACCUCGCGUGCGCGUGUACGAGGAAAGAGAAGCCGAGUUAGAUCGGCAGGACAGUUUGGACGCCUUGGAGGAGGAGCGUGAUGUGGCAAAAUCCCGUUCCGCAUUCUAUCAGCAGCAGGCUCGAAGAUAUCAAAGCAGAGAAGUACGGGCCAAAACUUACAAUGUUGGUGAGCUAGUUCUACGCCUGUGGGACAAGAAAAAGGACAAACUUAUGCCCAAAUGGGAAGGUCCCUUCAUCAUCGACCAAGUCCUUACCGGCGGUGCAUACCGUCUACGCAAAGCAUCUGACAACCGACUCGAGCCAAACCCAUGGAACGCGGCCCAUCUCCGAAGAUUUUACGCCUAGCGCCGGACUUAGGGUUCGUCUCCUUCCUCCGUCCAACUUUUCAUACUUUUUUGCUGUCUAAGUUUUCCCUCCUUUCUCCUCCCUUUUUCAUUACAACCCCCCUUGAGGGCUAACCUGCAUUUUGUUCGCACUUACUCGAUGUGCUACUCGCACUCGUCAUACCUGGGGGCUUCUUCAACAGAAGCUUGCUUAUAUGGGUUUCAUGCCCAGAACAUGUGUCACACUUCCGCAUGUACCUUUUGAUCACCAUUGUAUGCAUCGAUAUGACUUAAGUUUUGGUCAAGCUGGGUUGCCUGGCUCCUGUGCUUACCCCUAUGUUCCCGAUUGUUCGGCUAGGAGGUAAAGGGAGCACCUCUGCGAUUGUUACUGCCGGGUCAGCCGGAUGUGUACCUCAGACUGGGUGAAGCCGAAAGCUAGCAUUCUUAAGGGAAUAUUCGGUCGGUGACCUGAAAGAUGAUUCAUUACUUACUUAUUUGUCUGCCCCCAGAUGUUUUUCCUGCUUUUUUCGCAGUCCGGUCAUGCACUUUAGGGCAUGCCGCCCAGGGAAAGGAAACCCUAACGGAACUAUUCUCCCUGGAAGAUGUUUCUUACUACCCAUGUAAUAUAACAUAACUAGUUGGGCACUUGUCGGAUAAAGCAUUUAUGACCCCUACGCCUUGUCUCCAUGCAUGCCCCGGUUCUUUUUUUAUAACCGUGAGGGUAUUCGGACACACUCUGGACUGUUGGGUCCCGAGGUCGAAGCGAAAAGGUCCACAGAGACAAAUGAUCUACAAUCCGGCUAGCAGGUAUUUUACAUGUCAUUUUAAAAGUUACAUCGUCAAACUGACUGAUUGUAUUCUUCCUCAAUCCCAUCUAACAGGUUGUCUAAUUUACAGUCCUACUGGGAAUUUUUCGUGGCCAACUCUACUUGGCCGUACAUCAGGCUCACAGGGAUCUCCACAGGUCCGACCUCGGCCAUGUGGUUUGGGUCAGCCUUCGGGUACCGUUUCUUCACCAUGGCUCAGGCCUCCCUGGCACCUUGACGGCAGGCUGAUAUCUUCCACAAACGGAGACGUCACCGUACUCCCUGAAGCUUCUCAACAAGCCCUCCAAGGCCCUCAGGAAGGGAGACGGCCAGCCAUAAGGCCUGAACAAUGCCACUCAUCGCCUGCCGAACACGUUCAAGCAGUUGCACCAGCUCGGGAAGUUGAUCACCCGUUGAACCGGGCAUUUCCUCCGUAGGGCGACCUGUGAGCACACCUACAGACAUAUUCAUGUCAACUGACCUCCUCGCCAAACUCUUCUUUUCAAAAGAGUUUGCUUAAGCACAUACUAUAGAUGCUGCGACGAAGCCGCUGAUUCUCCUUCAAGGAGCCAGACAGCUGGGCCUGCACCCCUUUUAGCUCUUCUCCGAGCUGGGCGUGGGCAUCUUGGAGCUUGUUCCUCUCCUGCUGCACCUUCAUAAGCACCCUCUCGCCGGCCUUCAACUAGCGCAGUAGCUGUUGCUUGUCCGGAUCUAGUCCGGCACCCUCUGCAAUCUUAUUGUCAGACUAUACACGCAUGCCGCAUUUCAUAAACUAAUUUCUCUUUUCAAAAUCUGAAUUACCAGAGGGGGUCUCCGUGGCUCCCCCGGCAGCAGCUAGUGUGGCCUCAAGUUGGGCCUUGCACUCUUGAAGCUCCUGGGACAGGUGGGUAUUCUUCUCUGUAAGAUCCUACACAACAAAUGAUCCUUAAAUCAGUUAGUUUAACUAUUUUAAGUCUCAGGGGCUACUGGCGUAUAUAGCUAUUAAAACUUCUUACCUGUAUGUCCUUUAUAUAUUGCUCCGUGGCUCUGGUUAAACCAUCUUGAGCAGCACGGAGGUGCGCGUCCCCCGCAUUAAAGGCAUUCAACGCCUCCGGGGAGAAACACGCGUCACGAAGAACUGUCCGACGGCGCCGGUGAUUCAUGGCGCUCUCCACCUCAGACCUGGUGGCGGGCAGCCUGUCGGCAUCUUCCGUUGGAGGAGCGUCCGGCUCGCGCCUUGCGCUCGCCUCCCCUUCCGGACCAGGCGUUGGAGCCUAGCUGGCGGAGGCAUGGUUGGCACCCUCUCCAGACUCAGUCCGACGAGCACUCUUUCUCCUGGAAGAAUCAGGAGCAUUAAUAUGCCUCCCGGGAGUCUCUCCCUUAAAAGACAAAGGUGCACCAUACCUUUGCGGCGACGUUUCAAUUCGCGCCGGGGAAGCCGUGCACAAACCAGGGUAGUCGGCCGUAAUGGCGACUAAAGCAUUAUCCAUGCUGAGCUGGUGGAACACCCCAUCGAUCAGUUCCACCGCUAAAUCCGGAUCCUCUUCGGAGGCCGGAUCAAGGGAUCUUUCCGGAUCCUCGGGUUGUGGGGCUGGACUUUUUAUGCCCUCCACAUCCCGACGCAGCUCCUGCAUCAAAAUAUUAAGAUAAGACACUUGCCUUUAAAGGCACGGAUCAGAUAUACAAACGACCGCUUACCCAGCUCCGAGGGUUAUUCAUGGAGAAUCCGUUCAGAGGAUUCGUGCGGAGGAAGUCCUCCUUCUCCCCCUUGUACAAGCUGAACAGGAUCUUCGUCAGAUCAUCGGCCGAGCCUGGCCCCUUGCGGCCGUGGCGGGUGGCGUCGUUGUCUCCGUUGAAAUCCCACAUGGGGUAGCCUCUGUAUUGGAGCGGCUGCACCCCAUGCAUAAUGCAUGUGGCCAUGACUCCGCUCAUGGUUAAACCGGAAUGGGCUAGCAGCCGUAUCCGACCCAUCAAGUAAUGGACGCUCCUAUCAUCUUCUCGUUGAGGGCUCCGUGGGCGCCAACUUAGGCGUUUCUUCAGAGGAGCGUUGCUGAACUCCGGAAGGCCGAUCCGGACUGGAUCCGACAGCGGAGCGUCCUCCAUAUAAAACCACUCCGAAGGCCAGUCUUCGGACGCCAUCUUCGGGGUCCCGGACAGGUAUCCGGUCCCGACGAUGCGCCAUAUUUCGGCUCCGCCCACUUGAUAUAUCGACCCCCCGUGAGAGCGGGGUACGAGGCAAAACAGCCUCUUCCACAGUGCAAAAUGGGGCUCAAUGCCCAAGAACAGCUCACACAGAGCUACGAAGCCCGCGAUAUGCAGAAUGGAGGCAGGCGUAAGGUGAUGAAGCUGGAGUCCGUAGAAUUCCAGGAGCCCCUGGAGAAACGAAUGUAUAGAAAAUCCGAGUCCCCUUAUUCAGUAGGGGAUGAAGCAUACCCUCUCUCCUUUGGAGGGAUUAGGGGCGCUCUCCGCCUGCUUCCCACCUUUGUAGGUAGCUAGUCCGGCUCGAACCGGAACCAUGAAGGCUGGGGGAAGAUAUCCCUCUGCCUGGAGCACCACUAGCUCACGAUGCGAGAUUGAGCAUCUCCUCCAAUCUCCUGGUUGGGGACUGGGAGCGCGAGAAGAGGGGCCGCGUCGGCUAUCCAUGCUGGAAUGGAUUUUUUGUCAGAUGCGCCUCGAUGAGAACUUGUGGGAGGAGGGUGGUGCGGUUUGGAUCUGGAUCCCCGCCUCUCUUAUAGGCGGUUUAUUUGCGCAGCUAAGGGGUGAACUGUAAGAAUACCCUGGCUUUUCACAUUCGUGCAACACGUGGAAGAAGGCCAUUAGUUGGCGUGGAAGCCAAGGAGCGCAACAUUUAUGAAGCAACCGGACACUAUCUGACGAACAUAUGGACGUCAAGGAGAACCUUCCUUGCAAACGCCGAAGACAACAUACGCACCGGACUCAUCGUCAUUGAAGCCUGGUUCGGGGGCUACUAAGGGAGUUCCGGACUAGGGGGUGUCCGGAUAGCCGAACUACCAUCAUCGGCCGGACUCCCAGACUAUGAAGAUACAAGAUUGGAGACUUCGUCCCGUGUCCGGAUGGGACUUUCCUUGGCGUGGAAGGCAAGCUUCGCGAUACGGAUAUGUAGAUCUCCUACCAUUGUAACCGACUCUGUGUAACCCUAGCCCUCUCCGGUGUCUAUAUAAACCGGAUGGCUUUAGUCCAUAGGACGAACAACAAUCGUACCAUAGGCUAGCUUCUAGGGUUUAGCCUCCUUGAUCUCGUGGUAGAUCUACUCUUGUAACCCACAUCAUCAAUAUUAAUCAAGCAGGACGUAGGGUUUUACCUCCAUCAAGAGGGCCCGAACCUAGGUAAAAACAUCGUGUCCCUCGUCUCCUGUUACCAUCCGCCUAGACGCACAGUUCGGGACCCCCUACCCGAGAUCCACCGGUUUUGACACCGACAACGAUCUUGAUUGCACUUUCAUUGUCACACCAAAGAGGCACUUUGUCACAUUUGACACCAUAAUCCAUCAAAGUUUGCCUCAUCCAUAAUAAUGGAGCACAAGAACUUCCGGCGGCAAUGUACUCGGCUUCAGCCGUAGAGAGAGAUAUACAAUUUUGCUUCUUUGAAGACCAACUUACCAACGAUCUCCCUAGGCAUUGACAUGAACCAGAAGUGGACUUGCGGUCAGCCUUGUCUCUGGCCCAAUCCGAAUCCGAGUAUCCCAUUAACUCAAAUGAUGAUCCUUUGGGAUACCAAAGGCCCAAGUUUGGGGUAUGAACAAAAUAUCGAAGGAUUCUUAUCACUGCAGAAUAGUGGCUCUCCUUAGGAGCGGAUUGAAAUCUUGCACACAUACACACACUCAACAUAAUAUCUGGCCUAGAUGCACAAAGGUAUAGCAAGGAACCGAUCAUAGAGCGACAUACCAUCUGAUCCACUUCUUUACCAUUGGGAUCAAGAUGAAGUUGACCAUUUGUGGGCAUGGAUGUCUUCAUUGGCUUGACAUCUUGCAUUUCGAUCCUCUUGAGCAUGUCUUGAAUAUAACGCGAUCGGUUGAUGAAGGUUCCUCCUCUCAAUUGCUUCACUUGAAAACCGAGGAAGAACUUCAACUCUUCCAUCAUGCUCAUAGCAAAUUCCUUAGUCAUAAGAUUCUCAAACUCAACGUUAAUAGCAUGGUUAGUGGACCCAAAGAUAAUAUCAUCAACGUAUAUUUGGCAGACAAACAACUCUCCUUUUACCCUCUUCGUGAAGAGAGUGGAAUCUAUUACCCCAAUAUGGAACCCUUUCUCACUUAGGAACGCCAUAAGGUGAUCAUACCAAGCACGAGGUGCUUGUUUGAGUCCAUAGAGUGCCUUAUGGAGUUCAUAAACAUGAGAGGGGUGAUCGGGGUCUUCGAAACUGAGAGGUUGCUUGACAUACACCAACUCCUUAAGAGGACCAUUAAGAAAUGCACUCUUCACAUCCAUUUGAUAUAAUUUAAAAUCAUGAUGAGAGGCAUAAGCAAGCAAGAUGCGAAUGGAUUCGAGACGGGCAACUGGGGCAAAAGUUUCACCAAAGUCCAAACCUUCAACUUCGGUGAAACCUUGUGCCACUAACCUUGCCUUUUUCCUUAUUACUUGGCCAUGUUCAUCUUGUUUGUUCUUGAAAAUCCACUUUCUUCCAAUGACGUUAUGACAUUCCUUGGGUCUCUCCACAAGGGUCCACACUUUGUUGCGGGUGAAGUUGUUGAGUUCUUCAUGCAUGGCAUCUAUCCAAUCCGGAUCAUCAAGUGCAUCUUCCACCUUAAGGGGCUCAACACAAGAGACAAACGAGUGAUGUUCACAAAAGUUUGCCAAACGUCUACGAGUAGUUACCCCCUUUUUGAUGCUUUCAUAGAUGUUCCCGGUGAGAUGUUGAAGAUGUUUUAGCUUGGCGGCCACUUUUUGCUCUUUGAGGUCAAGCUCUUCUUCAAUUGGUUUUGGACUUUAUGUAGAAGCUUGCUCCUGAGAUUGUUUUAGCCUCGGAGACACCCUUCUCUUCACAACCAGAGGUUCUUGCACAUUGGGAAGUGACGGAGAUGAAGAAACUUGUGGUUGGAGUUGAUCUUGAUCUUGGUCACGAACUUGAGCUUGAUCUUGAGCCUCACUAAUUGGUUCUUCAUCAUUUGAAGGAGCUUGCUCUUGAUCUAGCUUGGGAAUAUGAGGGACUUGAUCUUGUUCUUGGAUAGGUUCAUGAUCUCCCGAAGCAUCUUGUUCAAGAGGUGUUGGUGAUGACUUCCCUUGUGGCGACUCCACAAGAGGGGUUCUUACUCCUUCUUCUUCUACUUGGACUUGGGGCAUUUCUUGUGGAAGAAUGUGGCCUAUCCCCAUCAUCCUUCACUAGGAACAAUUUGCUCCACUUGGGAUCCAUUAUCUUCAUCAAACUGCACAUUUACGAUUCCUCAAUGCAUCCGGUGGAUUUGUUGAGAACUCGGUAAGCAUGAGAGUUUGAUGCAUAUCCAACAAAUAUGCCCUCAUAAGUUCUAGACUCAAAUUUAGCUAACCGGGAUUUUUUGUUUAAAAUGAGAUACUUACAACCGAAUACCCGAAAGUAUCUGACGUUAGGCUUUCUCCCGAUUAGGAGCUCAUAAGGGGUCUUGUUCUUGAGCUUGCGAAGAUAAAGACGGUUUGAAGCAUGGCAUGCGGUGUUUAUAGAUUCGACCCAAAGCUUGUAUGGAGACUCGUACUCAUCAAGCAUGGUCCUAGCCAUCUCAAUAAGAGUACGAUUCUUCCUCUCCGCAAAACCAUUUUGUUGGGAAGUGUAUAGUGCGGCAUAUUGGUGCUUGAUCCCUUCUUCACUCAAGAAUUCAUCCAUUGUAUAGUUCUUGAACUCGGUGCCAUUGUCACUUCGAAUUGCCUUGAUCUCACAAUUAUGUUGACGUUGAGCUUCUUUGGCAAAGUUGAUGAAGGUUUCUUGAGUUUCAUCUUUGGUCUGGAGAAAGAACACCCAGGUGUAUCUUGUGAAGUCAUCAACAAUGAUAAGGCAAUACCUCCUCCCUCCCAAACUAUCAUAUGUUGGAGGCCCAAAAAGAUCCAAGUGGAUAAGCUCAAGCAGCCUCAAGGUGGUGAUGAUAGUCUUCACUUUAUGAGCUUUUUCAUGAAGCUUCCUGACAAUGCAAGCACUACAAGGACGAUCUUUGGCAAAAGACACAUUGGUUAGUCCAAGGAUGUGCUCCCCCUAUAAGAGAGCUUGUAAAUUUCUCAUGCCCACGUGGGCUAGCCUACGGUGCCAUAGCCACCCCACGUCGGCCUUGGCCAUUAGGCAUGUUGCAAGAUGAGUUUUCUCUUUUGAGAAAUCAACUGCGUAAAGGUUGUCUUCAACAUGCCCAACAAAGACCACUUUGAGAUUGCUUCUCUUAAAGACGGCCACAUGGAAUUCACCAAAAUGUGAAUCAUAACAGGCACGAGCCAAUUGAAUAGUUGAAAGUAAAUUGUAGUGAAGGGAUUGGACAAGCAUGACAUUUGUAAGUGAUGAAUCAUUAGAGAUUACCACCUUGCCCAAACCCAAUACCUUGCCCUUGCUAUUGUCACCAAAAGAGAUGUUCGAAGAGGCCUUGAGUGAAUCUACAAACUCCACAAGCAUCUCCCUUUCUCCGGUCAUAUGAUUGGUGCAUCCACUAUCGAUCACCCAUUGAGUUCCACCGGAGACAUAGUCCUCUUUGGCCAUGAGGCAUGAGGGAGUCCCGGAUUAGGGGGUGUCCGGAUAGCCGGACUACCAUCAUCGGCCGAACUAUCAUCGGUCGGACUAUCAUCAUCGACCGGACUCCAAGACUAUGAAGAUACAAGAUUGAAGACUUCGUCCCGUGUCCGGAUGGGACUUUCCUUGGCGUGGAAGGCAAGCUUGGCGAUACGGAUACAUAGAUCUCCUACCAUUGUAACCGACUCUAUGUAACCCUAGCCCUCUCCGGUGUCUAUAUAAACCGGAUGGCUCUAGUCCGUAGGACACAACAACAACCAUUACAAUCAUACCAUAGGCUAGCUUCUAGGGUUUAGCCUCCUUGAUCUCGUGGUAGAUCCACUCUUGUAAACAUCCACAAUAUCAAUAUCAAUCAAGCAGGACGUAGGGUUUUACCUCCAUCAAUAGGGCCCGAACCUGGGUAAAACAUCAUGUCCCUUGUCUCCUGUUACCAUCCGCCUAGACGCACAGUUCGGGACCCCCUACCUGAGAUCCGCCGGUUUUGACACCGACAUUGGUGCUUUCAUUGAGAGUUCCUCUGUGUCGUCACCGAUAGGCUUGAUGGCCUCUUCAAUCGACAACGACGCAGUCCGUGGCGAGACUUUUCUCCCCGGACAGAUCUUCGUAUUCGGCGGCAUCGCACUGCGGGCCAACUCACUUGCCCAUCUGGAGCAGAUCGAAAGCUACGCCCAUGGCCGUCAGGCCAGGUUUGGAAGCCUAAACUUCACGGUCGAUAUCUGCGGGGACUUGAUCUUCGAUGGAUCUGAGCCACAGCCGAGCGUGCCGCGUUGUUACGAGGGGCACGACCUAACUCUGCCGCCGGACAGCACCUUGGAGGCCGCACACGAAUCCGCUCCGACCCAUAGUCCGGAGCCGAUCGCUCAGAUCGAGGACGGAUGGCUGGACACCGCCUCGGGAGCUGCAACUUCUACGGCGAUGGAGCCGAACACUUACCUUGUCCCGCAUAAAGCUCAUGACUCCGAGGUGCCGGACUCUCUGCCGGACUCCGAACCUCCUGCGCCCCUUCCAGUCGAAUCCGAUUGGGCGCCGAUCAUGGAAUUCACCGCUGCGGACAUCUUUCAGCACUCACCCUUCGGCGAUAUCUUAAAUUCUCUGAAGCAUCUCUCGCUAUCCGGAGAGCCCUGGCCGAACUACGGCCAGGAUGGUUGGGACGCGGACGGUGAAGAAAUUCAGAGCCCACCUCCAUCUAUGAUCUAACUGACGUACUCGACUACGACUCCAAAGACAUCGACGGUAUGGACGACGAUGCCGGAGACUAUCAAGAACCAGUGCCAACAGGACACUGGAAGACCAACUCGUCAUACGACAUAUACAUGGUGGACACCCCAAAAGAUGGGGACGGCGAAGAAGCAACGGAGGCCGAUUCCUUAAAGAAACAGCCCAAGCGCCAACGUCAGCGGCGCCGCUCUAAAUCCUGCCACAGCAAGAAUGGAGAUUCCGGCACAGGAGAUAAUAACACCCUAGAAAGUGCCGAAGACAACCCCCUCCAGCACGAUCCAGCGCAGGAGGACGCAAAAGCAAGCCCUCACGAGAGGGCGGCAGACGAAGAGGUCGAGGAUGAUAAUUACUUACCUCCCUCCGGAGACGAGGCAAGCCUCGACGACGACGAACUCGUCGUGCCUGAGGAUCCCGUCGAGCAAGAGCGUUUCAGACGCAGGCUAAUGGCCACGGCAAACAGCCUAAAGAAAAAGCAGCAACAACUUCAAGCUGAUCAAGACCUACUGGCCGACAGAUGGACCGAGGUCCUCGCGGCCGAAGAGUAUGAACUCGAAUGCCCCUCCAAAAGUUACCCAAAACGCAAGUUGCUCCCCCGACUAGAGGAGGAAGCGUACAAACCUGCAUCACCAGUGCACAAUACGGUAGACCGACCACCUCGUGGCCGCGACAGAGAGGCAUGCAAGCCCUCCACCAAAACCGUACCCCAGCAUCGCUCAAAAAGCAUGAAGCCACGGGGGAACGGGCCGGACUUGCGGGAUAUAUUGGAGGACAAGGCAAGACAAUCCAUAUCUAUCUAUGGAUCACGUGGGCACCCCAAGACCCAUGACGAAUACCGUCGCGCCGGAUACAACUACUCCGGCCGGGCCGAACACAGCAGACAACGCCCUCUCGAGCUACGUCGCGAUAUUUCUCAAUACAGAGGCGCCGCGCACCCACUAUGCUUCACUGACGAAGUAAUGGAUCAUCAAAUCCCUGAAGGGUUUAAUCCCGUUAAUAUCAAACCCUACGAUGGCACAACAGACCCCGCGGUUUGGAUUGAGGAUUAUCUCCUCCAUAUACAUAUGGCCCGCGGCGACGAUCUUCAUGCCAUCAAAUAUCUCCAGCUCAAGCUUAAAGGACCAGCUCGGCAUUGGCUUAACAGCCUGCCCGCAGAGUCAAUUGGAUGCCGGGAAGACCUGGAAGCCGCAUUCCUCGACAACUUCCAGGGCACGUAUGUGCGACCACCGGACACAGAUGACCUAAGCCACAUAAUCCAGCAGCAUGACGAAUCGGCCAGGCAAUUCUGGACAUGAUUCUUAACAAAGAAAAAUCAAAUCGUCGACUGUCCGGAUGCAGAGGCCCUCGCUGCCUCCAAACAUAACAUCCGCGACGAGUGGCUGGCCCGGCACCUAGGACAGGAAAAGCCGAAAUCCAUGGAAGCCCUCACAUCACUCAUGACCCGCUUCUGUGCGGGAGAGGAUAGCUAGCUAGCUCACAGCAACAACCUCAGCAAAAACGCUGGCAGUCUGGAUACCAAGGACCGCAAUGGCAGGUCGUGUCGAAACAAAAACAAACGCCACAUUAACGGCGACAGCAAUGAGGAUACGACAGUCAACGCCGGAUUCCGAGGCUCCAAGCCCGGUCAGCGGAAGAAGCCAUUCAAAAGAACCACUCCGGGCCCGUCCAAUUUGGACCGAAUACUCGACCGCUCCUGUCAAAUACAUGGAAAUCCCGAAAAGCCAGCUAACCACACCAACAGAGAUUGUUGGGUGUUCAAGCAGGCAGGCAAAUUAAUCGCCGAAAACAAUAACAAGGGGCUACACAGCGAUGACGAGGAAGAGACCCGGCCGCCGAACAACAGAGGACAAAAGGGAUUCCCCCCUCAAGUUCGGACGGUGAACAUGAUAUACGCAACGCAUAUUCCCAAGAGGGAGCGGAAGCGUGCACUAAGGGACGUAUACGCGAUGGAGCCAGUCGCCCCAAAAUUCAAUCCAUGGUCCUCUUGCCCGAUCACUUUCGAUCGAAGAGACCAUCCGACCAAUAUCCACCAUGGCGGAUUCGCCGCAUUGGUUUUAGACCCAAUCGUCGAUGGAUUUCACCUCACGAGAGUCCUGAUGGACGGUGGCAGUAGCCUGAACCUGCUUUAUCAGGAUACAGUGCGCAAGAUGGGCAUAGACCCUUCAAGGAUUAAACCUACAAAGACAACCUUCAAAGGCGUCAUACCAGGUGUCGAGGCCAGUUGUACAGGCUCAGUUACACUGGAAGUGGUCUUCGGAUCCCCGGAUAAUUUCCGAAGCAAGGAGUUAAUCUUCGACAUAGUCCCAUUCCACAGUGGCUAUCAUGCUCUGCUCGGACAAACCGCGUUCGCAAAAUUCAACGCGGUGCCGCAUUAUGCAUACCUUAAGCUCAAGAUGCCAGGCCCUCGUGGAGUCAUCACGGUCAAUGGAAACACGGAACGCUCCCUCCGAACGGAGGAACAUACAGCGGCUCUCAGGGCAGAAGUAUAGACCAGCCUUUUAAGGCAAUUUUCGAGUCCGUCCGUUAAACGACCGGACACGGCCAAACGCCCGGCCCGGGCAGAUGCUCAGGACUUAGUCCAAAGAUGUGUCGGUUGUCAGCUCUUUGGUAAUUAGAGCCACAUGCCAUCCACCGCCCUCAAAACUAUACCCAUUACCUGGCCGUUCGCGGUCUGGGGGCUUGACAUGGUUGGACCACUUAAAGGGGGAACCCACAAGCAAAGGUACCUAUUGGUCAUGGUGGAUAAAUUCACCAAAUGGAUAGAGGCCAAGCCAGUUAAAACGGCAGAGUCCGGACCAGUGAUAGACUUUAUAUCCGGGGUAGUACACCGUUAUGGUGUCCCCCACAGCAUCAUCACCGAUAACGGCACGAACUUCACGGCCGAUGAGGUUAAAUCAUGGUGCAAAAAUAUGGGCAUCAAGCUCGAUUACGCUUCAGUCUAUCAUCCUCAAACCAACGGUCAAGUGGAACGAGCAAAUGGUCUAAUAAUGAGCGGCAUCAAAUCCAGACUAGUGCGGUCCCUUACGAUAUCUGACACGCACUGGGUAGAGGAGCUCGACUCCGUACUCUGGGGGCUGCGGACAAUGCCUAACCGUACUACCGGAUUCACACCAUUUUUUAUGGUAUACGGCGCAGAAGCAGUUUUGCCCUGCGACAUAAUUCAUGACUCACCUCGAGUGCGCAUGUACGAAGAAAGAGAAGCCGAGUUGGAUCGGCAGGACAGCUUGGACGCAUUGGAGGAAGAACGCGACGUCGCCAAGGCUCGUUCCGCAUUCAAUCAGCAGCAGGCUCGAAGAUACCAAAGCAGAGAAGUAUGGGCCAAGACUUACAAUGUUGGCGAACUGGUUCUACGCCUGCCGGACAAGAAAAAGGACAAGCUCAAGCCCAAAUGGGAAGGCCCCUUCAUCAUCGAUAAAAUGUUGACCGGCGGAGCGUACCAUCUAUGAAAUACGUCGGAUAACCGACUCGAGCCGAACCCAUGGAACGCAGACCGCCUCCGAAAAUUCUAUGCCUAGCGCCGGACUAAGAGUUCGUCCCUUUCCCCCCGUCCAAAUUUUUUUUACUUCAGCUGCCUUUUAUUUAUCUUUUUCUUCUCAACCCUAUUCAUCAAAGCCUUAAAAGUCCUACUUGCGCAUCGUUCGCGCGCAAUUGAUGUGCUAUCCGCACUCAUUAUACCUGGGGGCUUCUUUACCAGAAGCUUAAUUAUAAGGGCUUCAUGCCCAGCACAUGUGUCAAGCCUCCACAUGUACCUUUUAUUCACCAUUAUAUGCAUCGAUAUGACUUAAGUUUUGGCCAAGCUGGGUUGCCUGGCUCCUGUGCUUACCCCUACGUUCCCGAUUGUUCGGCUAGGAGGUAAAGGGAGCACCUCUGCGAUUGUUACUGCCGGGUCAGCCGGAUGUGUACCUCAGACUGGGUGAAGCCGAAAGCUAGCAUUCUUAAGGGAAUAUUCGGUCGGUGACUUAAAAGAUGAUUUUUAUCCACUUAUUUAUCUGCCCCCAGAUGUUUUUCUGCUUUUUUCGCAGUCUGGACAUGCACUUUAGGGCAUGCCACCCCCAGAGGAAAGGAACCCUUAACGGAACUAUUCUCCCUGGAAGAUAUUUCUUACUACCCAUGUAAUACAACAUAACUAGUUGGGCACUUGUCUGAUAAAGCACUAAUGACCCCUACGCCUGGUCUCCAUGCAUACCCUGGUUUCAUAUUCGGACACACUCCGGACUCUAGGGUCCCGAGGUCGAAGCGAAAAGGUCGGCAAAGACAAACCAUCUACAAUCCAGCUAGAAGGCAUUUUAUAUGUCAUUUUAUAAUACAUUGUCAAAUCGACUGAUUGUAUUCUUCCUCAAUCCUGUCUAACAGGUUGUCUAAUUUACAGUCCUGUUGGGAAAAUUUAGCGGCCAACUUUACUUGGCCGUAUACUAAACUCACAGGGAUCUCCUUCCCAUCGGGCCCCACAGGUCCGACUUCGGCCAUGUGGUUGGGAUCCGCCUUCUUGUACCGCGUCUUUACCAUGGCCCAGGCCUCCCUGGCACCUUGGCGGCAGGCCGAAAUCUUCCAUAAAUGGAAGCGCUGCCGCACUCCUUGAAGCUUCUCCGUAAGCUCCCCAAGACCCUCGGGUAAGGAGAAGGCUGGCCAUAAAGCCUGGAUGACGCCGCUCAUUGCCUGCCGAACUCGUUCGAUCAGUUGCAACAAUUCGGGAAGUUGAUCACCUGUUGAUACGGGCAUCUCCUCCGCAGGGCGACCUGUGAGCAUCCUGCAGACAUAUUCUGUCAAAUUGACUUCCUCGCCGAACUCUUCUUUUCAAAGGAGUUCGCUCAAACACUUACUAUAGAUGCCGCGAUGAAGCCGCUGAUUCUCCUUAACGGAGCCCGACAGCUCAGCCCAAACGCCUUUCAGCUCUUCUCCAAGCUGGGCAUGGGCAUCCUGGAGCUUGUUCCUUUCAUGCUGCACCUUAUGCAGCACCCUCUCGCCGGCCUUUAGUUGGCGCAGAAGUUCUUGCCUGUCCGGAUCUUGUCCGGCAGCACCUGCAACGUCAUUUUUUAGACUUGCGCAAAGGCCAAACGCUGCUUAUCUUUCUAAAAUAAUGCGUUACCAGGAGAGGUCCCUGUGUUUCCUCCUGCGCCAGAGAGUGCGGCCUCAAGUUGGGCCUUGCACUCUUGCAGCUCCUGAGACAGUUGGAUAUUCCUCUCGGUAAGAUCCUACGUUUCAUAUGAUCCUUAUAUCAGUUAAUAUAACUACUUUAAGUCCUGGGGGCUACUGGCAUAUACAACUAUUAAAUUCUCUUACCCGUAUGUCUUUUACAUACUUCUCCGUGGCUCCGGUAAAACUAUCUUGAGCAGCACGAAGGUGCGCGUCCCCCGCGUUAAAGGCAUUCAACGCCUCGGGGGAGAAGCACGCGUCACGAAAUACUGUCCGGCGGCACCUGUGAUUCAUGGCACUCUCCACCUCAGACUUGGUGGCGGACAGUCUGUCGGCAUCCUCCGUCGGAGGAACGUCCGGCUCACGCCUUGCGCUCGCCUCCCCCUCCAGACCAGGUGCUGGAGCCUGGCUGGUAGAGGUUGGAUUGGCAACCUCCACGCCCGCAGUCCGGCGGGCGCUUUUUUCCCUACAAAAGUCAUGAGCACUCAAACGCUUCCUAGGAACGUUGCUCUAAAUAAUGAAUUGUGAGCUACACCUUUGCGGCGAUGUUUCAGUCCGCGCCGCGCUCCUCUUUCGCCUACUGGUCCGGACUGGCCUUUGUUGGUCAGCCACCGCGGGCUCGGCUUCUCGCCCUAGGGGCGCCUCCUGCACAGCGCCAUCAUAUACGGUAGUCAGAAAUAAGCAAGGAAGGAAUGACGGUGUCAGGACUUUGGUCGCAAUCACCUGGGAAGCCGGAUAUAGUCCGGGAUAGUCGGCCGUGAUGGCGACUAAAGCAUUGUCCAUGCUGAGCUGGUGGAACACCCCGCCGAUUAGCUCCACCUUUAUGUCCGGGUCCUCUUCGGAGGCCGGAUCCCGGGAUCUCUCUGGAUCCUCGGGUUGCGGAGCUGGACUUAGCAUGUCCUCCACGAUUCGGCGCAGUUCCUGCGUCGAAAGAAGAACACAAUAUAAGAAACUUAAGUUUCAAAAAGCAUGGGUCGGGCACGCAGAGUGUUCGCUUACCCAAGGCCGGGGAUUAUUCAUGGAGAACCCAUUUAAUGGGUUCAUCCGAAGGAAAUCCUCCUUCUCCCCCUUAUACAGGCCGGACAGGAUCGUCACCAGGUCUUCGACCGAAUCCGGCCCUUUGCGGCCAUGACGGGUGGCAUCGUCCUCCCCGUUGAAAUCCCACAUGGGGUGGCCCCUGUAUUGUAGUGGCUGCACCCCCCGCAUAAUGCAUGUUGCCAUGACUCCAAUCAUGGUCAACCCGGAAUGGGCCAGUAACCUUAUUCGGCCCAUCAAAUAAUGAACACUCUUAUCUUCCUCCAGUUGGGGGCUCCGCGGACGCCAACUAAGGCGUUUCUUCAGAGGAGCAUUGCUGAACUCCGGGAGGCCGAUCCGAACAGGGUCCGGCAGCGGAGCAUCUUCUAUAUAAAACAAUCCCGAAGGCCAGUCUUCGGACGCCUUCUUAGGGGUUCCGGAUGGAUAUCCGGUCCCGGCAAUGCGCCAUAUUUCGGCGCCGCCCACUUGAUAUAUGGACCCCUCGUGAGAGCGGGGUACAAGGCAGAACAACCUCUUCCACAGCGCGAAAUGGGGCUCGACGCCCAGGAAUAGCUCGCAAAGAGCUACGUAACCCGCAAUAUGCAGGAUUGAGGUGGGCGUGAGGUGAUGAAGCUAGAGUCCGUAGAACUCCAGGAGCCCGCGGAGGAAUGGAUGUACAGGAAAUCCGAGCCCCCUUAUCAGAUAGGGGACGAAGCAUACCCGCUCCCCUUUGUUGGGACUUGGGGUAACCUCCGCUUGCUUCCCACCUUUGUAGGUGGCUAGCCCGGCUCGAACCGGAACCAUAAAGGCCGGAGGGAGAUAUCCUCCCGCUUGGAGCUUCACCAGCUCGUUGUGCGGAACAGAGCAUCUCCUCCAAUCUCCUGGCAAAGGGCUGGGAGCGCGAGAAGAGGAGCCGCGUUGAUGGUCCAUGAUGGAAUGGAUUCUUGGUUGAAAGUGCUCCGAUGAGUAUUUGCGGGAGGAAGAUGGUGAUUUGGAUCUGGAUUCUUGCCUCCCUUAUAGGCAGAUUAUUCGCACAACUAGGGGGUAAAACAUAAAAGACACCCUGGCUUCUCACAUUCACGCGACGUGUGGAAGAAGGCCAUUAUUGGGCGUGGAAUCCAAGACGCGCAACAUUGAUGAGGAAGCCGGACACUGUUCGGUAGGUACGUAGAACUUGAAGGAGAACCCGCCUUGCAACGCCGAAGACUACACACACGCUGGACUUAUCGUCAUUGAAGCCUGGUUCGGGGGCUACUGAGGGAGUCCCGGAUUAGGGGGUGUCCGGAUAGCCGGACUACCAUCAUCGGCCGAACUAUCAUCGGCCGGACUAUCAUCAUCGACCGGACUCCAAGACUAUGAAGAUACAAGAUUGAAGACUUCGUCCCGUGUCCGGAUGGGACUUUCCUUGGCGUGGAAGGCAAGCUUGGCGAUACGGAUACGUAGAUCUCCUACCAUUGUAACCGACUCUAUGUAACCCUAGCCCUCUCCGGUGUCUAUAUAAACCGGAUGGCUCUAGUCCGUAGGACACAACAACAACCAUUACAAUCAUAACAUGGGCUAGCUUCUAGGGUUUAGCCUCCUUGAUCUCGUGGUAGAUCCACUCUUGUAAACAUCCACAAUAUCAAUAUCAAUCAAGCAGGACGUAGGGUUUUACCUCCAUCAAGAGGGCCCGAACCUGGGUAAAACAUCAUGUCCCUUGUCUCUUGUUACCAUCCGCCUAGACGCACAGUUCGGGACCCCCUACCCGAGAUCCGCCAGUUUUGACACGGACAAGGCACCAAUGAGUGAAAGGCUUGUCCUCGUUUGGAGAAUCAAAGAGGCUAGUGGUGGAGGAGGAGGUAGUGGCAUGCAUGGCAAUGGCGGCCAUGCCCACUUGAUCAUCAUCACCGUCAUCUUCAUCUCCGGACAUGUAUUCUUCAUGAACAAGAGCCUUGUCAUCCUUCCUCUUUGCAAACUUGGUGAACUUCCUCUUCUUGAGCACGAGCUUCUCAGACUUGUCUUCACGUCUCUCAUACGGACAAUCAUGUACAAAGUGUCUUGGUCUAUCACAAUUGUAGCAUUUCCUUCAUCCAAAAGAUCUUCCUUGAAUAUUCUUCCCUUUGUUUGCCAUGGUCCCGUAGUACUUCUUGACUAAGAGGGCCAAGUCUUCCGCAAAAUCCUUUGCCAGGCACGAGGUGUCAAUAUCUUCCUCACCUAUCUCUUCACUCACUUCUUCAUCCCUUGAGGGUUGGCUUAUCACUUUCUUGGCCUUCAAAGCAAUAUUGGAGUUCUUGGUUGCUUGAGCUAUUGCAAAGGUCUUCUUGGACUUGGUUUCCAAAAGAACAUGAGUUGAGAAAGUGGAAACAACUUGAGUCGCGGUCAACUUGUGAUAAUUUGGACGCUGAUGUAUCAUCAUGACCAUGUUAUGUUCUGUGAGAACCAUAGCAUCUAUGAACUUGUCCUUGAUGAAGUCAUCAUUUGCCCAAGUGCACCCAAAGGUUCUCAAGUUCAGCACAAGGGACUUCAACCUUCGGUAAACCUCUUCCGCAGACUCACCCUCAUACCUCACAAAGAGAUUGACUUCUUUCUUGAGCAAAGCCAAUCCAGAUCUUCGAAUUGCUUCAUGUCCUUCGAGAGCCUCCUCAAGACAAUCCCAAAUUUCCUUUGCGGUUUUAAGAAGAGCAAUGGAGUCACUAUAGUCUUCGGUCACAGCGGUGCGCAACAUGUUGUCUGUUGUUGCAUUGAGUUGGUCAUCAACGGCUUCCCUUGGAGUGAGAUUCAUUGGAUCCUUGGGGUUGAAACCAUUGACCACAAUCCACCACAGUUGAGUUGAAGCACUGCGCAUGUAAGACUCCAUAUCUAGCUUCCACUUAGCAAACACAUUAGCUUUCAAAGGGGGCGGAGGCCCCACACGAUUAAUGUGAGGAUGUUGCAAAGGUUGAGGUGAGUAAAAGGGUUCCGCGGCAUUGUACUUGGGAACUUGAGUACGUGCCGGAGAAGCAAGAGGUUCUCUUGAGUCAUUCUUAUCAUGAAUGGCAUUUGGAUCAAAUGAGUUUGAUGCGGAUGUUAAUGGCUUCAAGCAAGCAUCAAUUUCCUCCUUGACCGAGGACCGAACUUCUUUCAACAUAGAGGUUUCGAGGUCCGCAAAUAUUGAAAGAAUAUCGGCCGCGGUCAAGGGGGCACCCGGGUUAGUAGGAGCGGUGGGAGCAACGACCGGGGCACCAAGUGCCUCGGGCGCGGCGGGGGGUAGGUUUUGACCAUCCCCCGCAACGGGUGCGCCACCUCCCUCAUUCCCUCGAUCAACCAUAUCCUCUAAGGUUGUAAAACCUUAUAUUAGAGCACAAGGAUCUGAUACCAAUUGAAAGGAACGAUACAGUCGACUAGAGGGGGGGUUGGGGUGGGGUGAAUAGGAGACUACAAAUUUUAAUCUUUCUUGUCAAUUUUAAGGCUUAGAAUAAAAGAAACUACUGCAGCUUGUAUGGUUGUUUGAUCUCACGGCCACCUAAAAUAUAUUAACUACCAAACAAAAAACAACGCAGCCAGAGCUAGCUAAUGACUUUUCGCCAAAAAUAGAGCUAGCUGGUGACUAUGCUUGUCUAAACAAAACGAUAACUAUGCAAGAAAGAGGUUUGUUUGCCAAUAAAAUAGUCCCACCUCACCUUUUAACACAAAAUAUGACCAAUAUACUUGCGUGAGGUCUUGUACAAACAAUGAGUCGCUUGGAGAAGGAACAAACAAACGAUAAUCUGCAAAAAUUAAUUUGGAUUGGGGGCUGCAUGAGAUAAAUAGAGGAGAGCAAAGAAGCCUAGGGUUUCCACAGGCUCUCGCCCGGUAGUCGCCAGGCAGCCUCGUCUCCUGUAGACUUAAGAUCAUAGAAGGGUAGGGUUCAUGUCCUCCUCAUAAAGAUGAGGCGGUGGCACUUCCUGAAGAUGAAAUAGGUGACUUCUUGACUGUCUACUACAAUAAGAUUUUUCCCGGUUGCGGUGAUGGAUGGGAGAUGAUGGCGGCGCGUCUACGGCUCGGUCCAGUGCUUAAACUCGUCGCUGGGUGAUCUACAGACCUGGAUGUAAUUUUUACUCCUGAUGUUUGUUGUACUAUCUUGACAUUUGAUGACCAGAUUGGAAGUUUCCUCGCGAAAAAAUAGAGGAGGAAUGAACACUCUGUGGGCUGCAUGGGAUGAAGACAUACUAAAAGCGGAAGGACCCCGGAGAGAGACAGUGAGAGAGAGAGAGAGAAUUUAAAUGGGAUUGUAGGUUGUGGCUGAGACACAAGAUUUAAGGAUGCCGUCGUGCCACUCCGUUGAAAUUUUGGAUGGACACAUAUUGAUCUUUUUUUUCCGUUGCAACGCACGGACAUUUGUGCUAGUUAGUACUUAUUAGGGUAUAGGGAUGGUGAUGAUGCUUUGACUCUGAUUCUAAAUAAAUCUGACAACGCAAACGUGGCAGUAUUGUUUUCGUUUUUUUACUAAAACACACCUAGAGAUUCAUAGAUUCAUGUAGGUAUUUCUUUUAUAAUUGGUUGACUCACUUAAAUAUAUAAUAACUGGAGCACAUCUAGAUGUACACCCUCUGUAAAAAAUAUAAGAGUGUUUAGAUCACUAAUUUAACGAUCUAAGUGCUUUUAUAUUUCUUUACGAAAGAGUACAAAUUAUGCUCCAGGACCGGCGCCAAGUUAACGAAAAAUACAACACCUCUAACUGAUGUUUGUCCUUCGAUCUGCAUCCAACGGUCUACAUCACUUUUUCCCGCUUCGUCAGGCGGGCUUCAACAAAGGUCUUAGAUCGAUCAAAUGACUCAACAUGCUUCGACCAUCAUUAGCUUGUGAGGCUUCAACCUGCGUCAGAGACGGCAAAUCGUGCUUCGAAUGCACGUGAGAUGAUUACCAUUACUGCAUGGUAUGUGUCGUGGGAAAGGCAUAAACAAGUUCAUGACGAGAUAGUUCAAUAUGCUUAUCAUAUUAAUUACCAUGGGAUUCGUGCUCUAGCGGCUACCUGUGUUAUUGUUUCCUCUCCAAAUGAUAUCGUGAAAAGAGAGGCAUGGAUCUGCCCCCUGUGUUUUUUGUUAAAUUAAUUGUUGAUGCAUCUUUCAAUCAAGACCUGUUUAGGGGCACAUAUGUGGCGGUCCUGAGGGAUGAUAAAGGAAAAUUUAUUGCCGGGGAAUUAAAAGAUUGACUUGUGUAUGGAUGACCUGGCGGCUGAAGCUUUGGCUAUUCGAUUCGGUCUAUCAAUUGCGCAAAGGGUAAAUGGAAUCGUCUCAUUACUAACUCUGGUAAUUUGGAGAUUAUUGACACCAUGAAGUAUGGAGGACAAUCUAUGGAUGCGGCGGCGACAGUUUUCGACGAUUGUUUAGUUUUGAACAUCUAUAUCUAUAUCUAUACCUACUAAUAAAGAGAGGUGAUAUUGUUGGUUCGGUCCAUCAUGAAAUUUAUUGUUAUCUUUUUCUUCGUGUGCUAUCCAUUUGGCCCACGUCCACGAGAGCACGAAGGUCUUUUGUCAGCAGCUACUUUUACGUCCUCCUCGAUUUUAGUCAAUAUAUAUCUUCUCUCGCUGAAAUCGUGUUCUCAACGCCGUCAACUUCCAUCAACCCUGUGCCGCGUCUCUCCUCUCCAAACCGCAGCCCACACCUAACUCAAAUCUGGCCGAUGUCGCGAGCAAUGAGUGGCGGAUUCAAAUCAGACCGGUGUCGCGAGCAAUGAAGAGCCCGAGGGCCCACCAGGAGGUGAAGGAGAGCAAGCGGCGGAAAUAACAUUUGAAUUUUCCUAGGUACUACCUAAUUAUGUAUAUAUGCACCUCAUAGAAAAUCAUUCAACUUAUGCUUUCAUUUGGUGUAUGUAAUUUGCAAUAUAAUGUUGUGAACCAAGCCAAGUUGGCCCAAAUAUAUAUAUCAUGGGAAUGGGAAUGGGAUGGUAGGUGUGAGCCACGCCGGCGGCGGCCAACUCAAGUGCUGUCCGAGCCCCUGGACCUUGUCAACUCUGCCGUCCUUGAGGCUGAACACACCGACGCCAAGCUCGUCGUCAUCGUCCUUGCAUCACCACGCUGCCACCAGGUCAUGGUCCGUGUAGUAGACGCAGCCAGCACUGAGCCACGGGUGCACCCUGGUGGACACGCACAUGGACUCAUUGGCCCCGACGAAUAGCGCGGCAUCGUCGAUGCCGUCCGUCUCCUUCCACCGCGCUCCGUCAAGCACAUGCACCUUGAAGGAGCAUGUCCGCCGGCACCGUCCCCAAUCGUCUGUGGUCUCCUUGGACUCCUUGAGCACCACCAUCAGCCGCACGCCUGGCCCCGACGCCGCCACGAGGUACUUGCGUCGGCGCCACGGUUGGCUUGCAACGUCGUCCAGCCUUGGCGUAACGGCCGUGCUGCCGAACUCGCCCGUGUUGGCGUCACGCUCCCAUGCUUGCACGGUGCGGGAGUACCCGACAGAGCAGAACCUGCCCUCGUGGUGGAUGGCGUCCUCCUAGGGCCGCCCGUAGCAUUUCGGAGGCCCUAGUGCGAUUGAGAUACAAACAUUAACAAAGUAACAAAUAUACUUCCAACAAUAUAUAUCAUACAUCAUGAAUAAUAUAAAGGCAUAAACAUAAAAUACAUAUUUUUUUGUUAGCAAAUAAAGUCAAAAUACACCAUUUAUAUGUGAUUAUAUGAUGCAAAUAAUGAUUAUAAUGUACUCAACUAUUAAUAACCAUUGAAUAAAUACAAUAUGGUGAAGUGCGUCGAGGAGAGGGGGGCAUAUGCCCCCUAUCCACGUUGGUUUUUGUUCGCAAAUCAAUUUUUUUUGUAGUUCAUUUAAAUAUAUAGAUAUAUUGGGCCCUUAUUUAAGCUUGCUAGUUCCUGCUGCCCGACGCCUUCAGUGAAAGGAAGUGGAAAGACUGAAUGAAAUCCAUCUCAAAGGAAAAAGACUGAAUGCAAUCUUGCUACAAUGAAAUCCAUCUCAAAUCUUGUUGAUUUCUACCUACCGUUUUGCAAUGUAACAAUGGGCAACGAGUUGGAUUUCCGGACUAGUAAGUAUUAUUCACCUUUUUGUUUCUUUCAUGUCUUGUUUCACACACCACACAGAGAGGCUAUGACCCGCAGUGGUUGUCCAUCACCUUCUCAAAGGCUAUAUUCCUCGGAAAUGGUCUCUCGCCGUUAUAGCCGGACUGUUUGCAAACCUGCUCGCAGGCAACUUGGGCUUUGGUCCUGUGGCUCCUUUCGAUGCCGCUGCAUGCUUCAUGGAAAUAGGCAUGGCUAUCAUCAUGUCCUCGUGGAGUGAAAACUAUGGAGAUCAAUCUGAAGGCAAGGAUCUCAUGUCUCAGUUCAAGGUUGCCGCCAAGGCAAUCGCUUCAGGUAUACUUGCUGCUUACCAUAGCUUCACUUCAUCCCACCGACUGCAACACAACCAACAUUAUUAAAUGUGUAUAUAUUUUCAACUUAGAAGAAGAAGAUUUGUUAUUCUCACACUAACCAUGAACGAGCGAAUGAAUGAAUGAAUCUUCUGAUAAAAAUCGCAUUGCUGGGAGCCAUUCAGUCGCUGUUCGAGGGCUCAAUGUACACUUUUGUCUUCCUCUAGACUCCAGCCUUGAGCCCAAAUGACGAAGACAUUCCUCAUGGCUUUAUAUUUGCCACCUUCAUGCUGUCGUCUAUGCUGGGUAGCUCCAUUGCAUCACGCCUGUUGGCCCGGAAGAUGAAGGUUGAAGGUUAUAUGCAGAUCGUGUUUGCAGUAUCAGCCUUCACCCUUUUCCUCCC
rnacentral:lncRNA from 1 species